rnacentral:lncRNA from 1 species
AAACUCUAACUUAUUACCAGUAUUAUAAUGAAUUAUGAAUGAUUCAUUUCUUUAUUCAUUCAAAUCCCUUUGUCAAGGCUCUGUUUAAUUCAUUCACUAUAAUUUUAGAGCUCAAACUCAUUACCAUAGUUGAUGAAUUUCAUAUUGACUAACACUAAAAGAAAAACACUGAGAAUCGUCAGAUUUAGCGGCGUCGAUUACCGACGGAUUUAGCGUCGGAUUUCGUGUCAGAUACAAGGCAGCUUAGAUUUUCCGAAAUGUUUAUCGUGGGAUUUUAUAUUCCGAUGGUGAUUAGUAGCGUGAAAUUUUGAUUUGUGGGUGCCAACAUUAUCGUCGAAUUUUUCCGACGGUAAUUCGCUUUAGUGAAACGCUGCAUUUGACCAAUUUACCAUUAGCGUAGUCCGAUGGUAAAUUCGACGGUAAGUUGAUUUAAAAUUCAAACGCGAACCCUUCUUCUUCUUCUUCUUCUUCUUCUUCUUCUUUUUCUUCUUCUUCUUCUUCUUCUUCUUCUUCUUCUUCUUCUCUCUCUCUCUCUCUCUCUCUCUCUCUCGCCGGAGCCUCUCAUGCCGCCGUUGCUAGACGUUCUCGCCACUGGAGCUGUCGGUCACUGCUGGGAAGGUUGGGAACGCCGCCGCUAUUUUUUGUGCCCACUAUCGUCGGUGUCGCCUUCACUACUAGUGCCACAACACCUCUAGCAUCCUGCAGCCACCAUUAAAGAUAAUUUUGGCAUAGUUUUUUAAUUUUAUUAAGAUUUUUAUGUGGGUUUAGAAUUUUUUGUUAAAUAGUUUAUAAAAUUUUUUAUUAAAUUAUUGUAAUGAGUUUGUGAUUGGGAUUUGGUAUAUUUUUUUUUACUGUUUUUCAGAUUUUUCUGUAACUUUAGAAUUUUGUUAGGUAUUUUACCAAAUUAUUGAUUAAAUUAUUGUAACAGAGUUUGUAGUUAGGGUUUGGUUUGUGGUUUUUAGUUUUUAGUUUUUUCAAAUUUUUGUGUGAGUCUAGGGUUUUGUUUAUAUUAAGAAUUUUAUUAUCAAAUAAUUGAUUAAAAUAAGGUUUGAAAUUUGUGAUUAGAAUUUCUUAUGUCAAUUUAACGUAAAUAGAAAUUAUAAUUCAAUUAAUGGCUAAGUAGGGCGAGAUUAAGAGUGUUCGACAUUGUUGGUGGAUGAUUUUGUGAAGUUUAUUGAAUUAAUUAGUUUCACCUUGUCAGUUUAAUAAGUUUUUUUUUUUAUUAAGACGAUGGCAUUUCUCUGAGAUUAAUUGGAUUUCACUUCUUUCAUAUUCUGUGCAUUCAUGUUUCUGGUAGGUUUUCUAUCUCUAACUAUAAUCUAUUGUUUAAGUUUUAUGUUUGACUUACUUUUCCUAGGAUAGCGUUUUAGGACGGAAAUGAGAGAAGGUCGCGUAGAGGUGCCUUCUCAAAAUCCUUGUUUGCUCGAAAAUUGUGGAGUUAUAAGGGAUUGCACACUAGAACGGUUAGGAUUUGAUAUGUUAUUGAGUUUGUGUUUGUUCUAAUAUAUGCUUGCAGCUGUUUUCACUAUGAAAAUUUUUAUUUUUUUAGAUGUCUCUGAAUUAAGGAAAAAUUUUGCCGAAAUUUCGUGUGAUUUGUUUUAAAAUUUGUUUGGUUUAUAGAAGAUUAUAAUUAUAGGGUUAUGCUCUGUCGAAUUUUGUAAAAAAUUUAAUAAUUUUGUCUUGUUCAUCGAAUUCUAAGGUGUGUGAUUCAAUUUGAUUUCAAGUUAUCGUCUAUGGAUAUAUGAUAGGAAUAACGAUGGACGGGAGAAUUAAAACCUGAAUUCUUUAAAGAGGUUGAUGCGUUUGUCGGACAUGUGUUCAGCAUGAAACUAUUUAGGUCUGAAGGGGGUAUCUAGGUGUCCGUAUGAAAAGUGUCAGCGGACUAAGUGAUUAGGACCUACGGAUAUACCGCUUCUCCUUUACCAUAACGGGUUCAAGGAUGGGUAUUGGAUGUGACCGGACCAUAGAGAAGUGAACAAACAGGAAAUUAACCAGUCUGCCUCGAAUUUGAAUAGGUCCGACUAUCGGUCAACGAGAGUUUGAGUGGAAAGAAAACUAAACAUGGAAGACAUGACUUGGGAGGGUAACCAAGAGAGAUACAACGAGAUGGUGCUUGACGUAACAGGUGUUACGUCAUUGGAAGAGGCUAAACAAGAGCCUAACUCGGAGACAAGGAUAUUUUAUCAUCUGUUAAAAUCUGCUGGGAGACCGUUGUAUGAGGAUUGCGUUCAUUCAGAGUUGUCUGCAUGUGUUAGAAUGAUGAUUAUUAAGUCGAAAUCAAAUCAUACGCAAGAGUCUUUUGAUAGGUGGGCUACCCUUUGCAACGAACUGAUACCUGUCGGGACCUCUGGCAUCCUUUGAAACACUACGAAGUAAAGAAGCUAGUUUCAAAAUUGGGUCUAAAUUCGUUGAAAAUUGAUUGUUGUUUGAAUGGGUGUAUGAUGUAUUACAAGAGAGAUGCAGACCUAACUGAAUGCAGAUUCUGUAAAUCACCAAGGUUCCAAGUCGAGAGAAAACAUAUUGGUAAACACCGAUUAAAGAGAGUUCUGAUGAAAUGGAUGCACUACUUGCCCUUGAUCCCUAGGCUGAAACGAUUGUAUGCAUCGAUGAGUUCUCCCCCUCACAUGACCUGCCAUUAUAAUAAGAAGAGGGAUGAUGGAAUCAUUACGCACCCGUCACAUGGAAAAGUCUGGCAACAUUUUGAUCGGGUGCAUCCUACAUUUGCGAGCAAGUCGAUAAAUAUUAUACUAGCUUUGUGCUCUGACGGGUUCACACCGAAUUUCAAUUUUGGUAAUGCGUACUCUUGUUGGCUUGUAGUCGUGACACCGUAUAACAUGAGUUCCAAAAUAUGCAUGAAGGACCCACACAUGUUCCUAACUUGCAUUAUCCUGGUCCUAACAAUCCAAAAGCCACAAUAGAUAUCUUCUUGCAGCCCUUGGUGGAUGAGUUAAAGGAGUUGUAGAUUGAUGGUGUAGAAACGUAUGAUAUUUCGACGAAGACAAACUUCAAAUUGCGAACUGUGUUGAUGUGGACCAUUAAAGACUUUCUUGCAUACGGCAUGUUGUCUAAUUAGUCCACUCAGGGCAGAAUGGCAUUCCCCAUUUAUAUGAAGGAUACGAAGGCAUUUUGAUUGCCGAAUGGCGGUAAGAAUUUAUGGUUUGAUUGCCAUCAAAGAUUCCUCGACUUUGAUCAUCCUUUUCGGCGAAACAGGACUCCUUCAAAAAGAAUAAAAAUGAACACGAAGAGGCACCCAUAAAGUUGAAUGGUAGGUAAGUUUGGAAUCGCAUCAGUAGAAUCCCAAUGAUCGUAAAAAACGGGGCAUGUUUGAGACCUCUAGGAUAUAGCAGGGAGCAUAAUUGGACUAAACAAAGUAUAUUUUGGGAGUUGCCUUAUUGGAGAAAUAGUUUGGUUCGACAUUGUCUUGAUUUGAUGCACAUUGAAAAAAACAUGUUCGAUAAUAUCAUACACACAGUAAUGGAUGAUGAGCGAACAAAGGAUAAUGAUAAGGCAUAGUUAGACUUGAUGGACAUUUGCAGGUGGCCAGAUUUGGACUUAAGGAGACUUAAUAACUAGUGGUGGGCUAAAACCAAAGGCAGUGUUAAUUCUAACAAAAGUGCAGAGGCAAAAUAUUUGUAGGUGGAUUAGGGGAUUGAGGUUUCUUGAUGGUUACGCCUCUAACUUGAGUAGCUGUGAAAACGUGUCACAGGGUAGGCUUGCUGGGUUGAAGAGCAACGAUUGUCAUGUUUUCAUGAAGUCUUUGCUUUCAGUCGCAUUUAGAGAACUUCCAACUAACAUCUGGAAACCCCUCACAGAAAUAAGUGAGUUCUUUCGGGAGUUAUGUGCUACCAAACUUAGCAUUAACGAUCUCACAGUCAUGGACAAGAACAUUCUCACCAUACUUUGUAAGCUAGAGAGAACAUUCCCUCCAUCCUUUUUUGACAUUAUGGAAAACUUAGCAGUCUACCUACCGUUCGAAGUACUACUAUGUAGACCAGUCCAAUUUUAGUGGAUGUACCCAUUUGAGAGGAUGAUUGGUUCUUUCAAGCGCACUGUGAAGAACAGGACUCGGAUUAAGGACAGCAUCUGCGAAGCAUUCCUAGCUAAGGAAACAUAUGCAUUUUUCUUAUUCUAUUUUCAGUUUUAUGUUGAUUCACGUAGAACAAGGGUUGCAAGGAACAAUGAAGGGGGAGGGAUUAUCAUUGGGUGGAACAAAAUACCCAAUCUUUACUCUGGAAGGAGCUGUAAUGGGUGUGAAUAGUGACUACUGGUUAGAGCAAAAGGAAAUUAAUGCCACACAUCUGCAUGUGUUGCUUAACUGUGACCAGAUUUUACCGAACCUCAUGUGAGUUUAUUAAGUCCUCGUAAAUAUUACAAUCAGUAACAUUUGUGCUUCUUAAUCUAAUCAAAACUUCUUUAUCUUAUUCUAUCAUAUAGGUUAUUCCAAGAGACAAAUCUUGAUACCUCAUUGAACAACUUUUCACGUUGAUUCAGAGAUUACGUCAGCAUGCAGCUAACUGACACAACAGAUUCGGAACUAAUUGCACUUAGUUGGGGCCCAAAGAAUAAAGACACUAACUGCCCGAUGUACACUGUUAAUAGAUAUCGGUUCCAUACCUUACAGUGGUCGAUUGGAAAGAAAAUAGAUAACACCGGAGUUUGGGUUCAUGGGAUUCAGGCGAAGGUCACUCUGAUUGCUUUGGUGUGUUGGACAACAUUAUUGAAUUAAAGUAUUUAUGUCGCACUACGUACAAGGUAUGCAUGCUUAAAUGUGAAUGGUGUGAUCCAAAUUCGUGAUAAAAAACAUGAAAGCAGAAUGAUUAUGAUAUCACUGAAGUUAAUUUAACUAGGAAAUAUAGGCACUAUGAUCCUUUUAUUCUAUCUCAAAAUGCAAGAUAGGUGUACUUUUUGCUUUAUCCGGGUUCAUGCAAAUCUAGUUGGGUGGUUAUGGUUAAGAAUGAUUCAAGAGGCCGGAUCGAGUCUGAUGAUAGGACAGAAGAUCAUGAACCUUACCAGAUUGAUGACCCAACUCCUUCGAAAAUGGUGGUUGAUACCGGUGAGCCGAUUACCCUUAGCUUGAAUGAUGAUAUCCUUAACCUUGGAUUACAUCACGACACACUACCACAACACGUCGACGAUCUUCAACAAGAAGACGAGAUCGACGUGGACGAAGAAGAGAAAGACGAGUUCGAUGAUCAGGAAACUCGGAAGACAAGGAUGGUGAACCAGAGAAAGAAGAUGAUGAAUCUGAAUAGGAUUAAUGUAAAUAUAGUUUUAUGAUAUGUAUAAUUCAUUGCCAAACUUUGAGAAGAAUAUAAUGUAAUUAACAUUGUUUCAGAUAUAUCAAUUACCAUCAUUCCGUAUUUUUAUGUUGUAUGCUUGAUAUUUCACUUCAGGUUUAAAGCACUGUUUCAAUUAUGCUUGUUAUCAGAUUACGCUAUAAAUGGACAGAAAUUACUAUUUUUAAAAUAAUAAAAAAUUCUUUCCGUCGGAUUAAUUCAACAGUAACUGUCAACAGAUUGUGUUAUAUAUUCCGUCGCUAAAUCCGACAGAAAUUAGUGUUGGACACUAAAAUUCCUCCGGUAAGUAUUUUUCGACGAGAUUUAUACAUUUAUUCCACCGCUAAAUCUGGCGGUAACCAGUUUACCAUGGGAUUUAUCUAGAAAAUUUGUCGGUAAAUCCAUCGGUACUUGGCGACUUUCUUAUAGUGUAAUCAUUAAUUCUAUAAGUAUUUAAAUCAUACACAAUAUCUAUUCAACUAGCACCAUAGGGUAUUAAGUGUCCCGAAUUAAAGUAUAAUAAUUACUUUGUUAAUUACUAUGAUAGUCGCAGGUCAAAAGAAAAUUAUAACAUUCACUAUAGCACUUUUUGUUUAUUGCAACAUACGUUCAAGACAACACUUCGAAAAGGUUGCCUAAAAUAUAUAUAGACAAUUCUUUAUACUAGUCACAAAAAAUAGAACUAUAAUAACGUUUGUUUUAUCAACACGCUAUAAGUGAUUCCUUUGAUAAAUUAAAAGACACUUAUCAAGUGUUGCCCUAUCAAAUACACAUAAACCACUAUUAUAAAGUCAAUAUAUUACUUUUUCAAAACAUUGUCUUUAAAUUUAUUUUAAACUUCACUUUCUAAGUGUUGUCAAAAAUUUUUAAUGCCUCUCCCAAAAAAUAAAUCUUACCAACAUAUUUUAACUUUAAUUUCAAGCUUUUACCAAUUUUCAAAUAAAAAAAAUCCAACUUAAUAAAUAAUAACUAAAAACAAAAGCAACAAAAUAGGAUUAGGGUUCUACUGUGGGAAAAAGGGGGAGAAGAAGAAAGAGAAGAAAGAAAAAAGGAGAACCACCAUCGAAGGAGGAAGACGAGAAAGAAGGAGAAGAAGACGACGGAAAGAGAAGUUGCCAUCGCCACUUUCUUCACUUCAUUAUCAUCUCUGCCUUGUGUUGCUAUUGUCGUUUCUACCUUGCACUACUGUAAUCCCUCUUCUCUACUCACCGUCGUCGUGUUCCUCAUUGCUCGAGCUUGCGCCAUGUUUUGCUCACUCACGUUCGAGCAUCGAUCGUCUCCGCUCGUGGUUUGAGCUUCAAUCGUGUCCGCUCGCAUUUGUUCAUCACCGCCAGUUACUAUUUUGCAGGUACUUAUGAUUUUGCCUAUUCUUUUUGCUUUUCCAUUUUCGCACUUUGAAUCCUAAUUUUAAUAAUGUUGUUGUUGCUAUUAUAGCAUUUUUGGUAAUAAUAUUGAUGUUUCAAGCUUCUCUAGUUUCUGCUCGCCAUUCAUCUCUUACUAAAAGAAGAGUGGCAAGAGUUGAUUCAGGUUCCCACUCUUAUUUAAUCUUAUAAGAUAUUUUCAAUAUAGUAACAAUAUUACUAACCUAUAAUUUAUUAUCAAUUUUCAAGAUUUUAGUCCGAACACCGGUGACAUCGAAGCAGUUGAUCCUGUAAGUAUUGCAACAUUCAAAAUUCUGUUCUAAGAGAUAAUAUUUGUUAUUUUCUUGGUGAAACUAUAUUUUGUAAUUUUAUUCUAAUGAGAUUUGCACAUGAUAAAUAAAUCAAAAAAUCAAUUUGCACUUCAGAAGAGGAUGAAUUUUUGUUGCUGUGGUUGAAAACUUGCUUGCAAAGGGAAUGAGAAGUGCUUAAAAUGUAAUUGACAUUGAUGAUUUGUGAGUUUUAUUUAUUUAUUUAUUUAUCUUCCAAAUGAUUUGUGUUCACUAAUUGAAAAUUGCAAGUACAUGCUAUUCUUUCAGGGUGUUUAGCAGGAAGAUUGAAAGCAAUACUACAAUAUGAUCGCUUUAGAUCUCUAAUUCCGGCCAGAGCUAAAGCGAAAUGCAUUUCAAAUGCUGGUUAUUUCAUUAAUGUGUAUGCUUACUACUUUUACUUUUCUUUCUAUUUAUUUCAUGGAACUUGUUACCUCAUUUUUUUUAACAUAACAUAAAGGAUGUCUUUGGAGCAUAACACAUUCAAGAGUUCUAUAGUCAAGUUGUUGCAACGCAUGUAUGUUGACUAAAUCUCCAAAGUGGUCCCUGAGAUUAACGUGGCACACUACAAUCAUUCCUGAUAUUUCAAUUGCACUAAUUACAUCCCUGAGAUUGAAAAAAUUGCACCAUAUUAGUCCCUGAUCCAUUUUCCGUUAACGACACGCUAACGUGGCUAGAUGACGUGGACCUUUGGUGACAAAUGUCACCUCAUGGUUUGACCACGUUUGACGGUAUGAUGAUGUGUCGGUCAGUAACACGUGACAUGCUCACGUGGAUGGUUAUACCAUAUGUCACAAUGCUAUUUUGCCACGUGUCGGGUUAUGCCACGUGUCACAAUUUUAUUUGUCCACGUGUUAUCCACUAUGUCAUAAUUACAUAUGCACCAAAUUGGUCCCUUACUUUAUAUCAAAUGACUCAUUUUAGUCCCUGAAAUUGAAUGUCCUGCACCAAAUUAGUCCCUUCAUCAGUUUGUUCUCUUUCUUUUAUAAAUUCAAAAUUUUUAAUAUCUUUGAAUAUAGUAAUUUUAAUUUUAUCUUUUCACAAGUUAUUUAAAUACAAGUGCUUUAUAANNNNNNNNNNNNNNNNNNNNNNNNNNNNNNNNNNNNNNNNNNNNNNNNNNNNNNNNNNNNNNNNNNNNNNNNNNNNNNNNNNNNNNNNNNNNNNNNAGAUAUUGAUAUUAAUUUAGUAGAGAGUGUAAGUUAAGAGUAUAAUAAUAUUUCUCAAUACAAACUUUUUAAUAUUUAACACCUUAAUAAAUAUUUUAAGAAUACUUGAUAAGACACUUGUUAACUAAUAUAAAUUCAUUAUUUCUAUCUGUUUUAAGAAUGUUCGAUUUCCCAUAAUUGACUUUUUGCUAAAUUAAUAAGAUAGAUUUAUACUGUCGAUUAUAAUAUAUUUUAUCUAUAACUUAGCUAGGCGGACUUUUCAUAUAUUACACUAUUAAUUAAUAUAAGCACUUAUUAUAACCAUCGCUUGAACAAUAUUAAGAUACAAAUAAAUAAAAAAAUUAGUGUAUAAAAAAAUAUUGAGUUUUAAAUUUCAUGUUCGAUUUAAUUAACAUGUGUUCUAAUGAUACAAGUUGAAAUUAGUAAUUAAAAAUUUCAGUAUAAAAAAUUGUAUAAUAAAAGAUAAAAUUAAAAUUAGUGUAUAAAAAGUAUUGAGUUUUAAAUUUACAAAAAAAUGAGAACAAAUUGAUAAAUGGACUAAUUUGGUGCUCGAUAUUCAAUUUCAGGGACUAAAAUGAGUCAUUUGAUACAAAGUAAGGGACCAAUUUGGUGCAUAUGUAAUAAUGACAUAGUGGAUGAUACGUGGACAAAUAACAUUGUGACACGUGACAUAAUCCGACACGUGGCAAAAUAGCAUUGUGACACGUGGCAUAACCAUCCACAUCAGCAUGCCACGUUUCGCUGACCGACACAUCAUCAUACAGUUAUACGUGGCCAAACCAUGAGGUGACACGUGUCACUAAAGAUCCACAUCAUCAAGCCACGUUAGCACGUCGUUAACGAAAAAUGGGUCAGGGACUAAUAUGAUGCAAUUUUUCUAAUCUCAGGGACGUAAUUGGUGCAAUUGAAAUCUCAGGGACGAUUUUGGUGCACGACGUCAAUCUCAGGGACCACUUUGGAAAUUUACUCCUUGUAUGUUUCUUGAUUGACUCACAUGAACCAUUUAGUCUGAUAGAGCUUGAUUGUGUUUUUCUUCAUUAUCUCAUCAAGGAUCGGCAAAGAAUUUGCCUGCCUAGUGCACUUCAAGACUGAGCCCAUGUCUAGUUAGUUUGUGAGUUGUGACCUAUUUAUUUUUCAUUAUGAGCGAGAGUUAUUAUUUCAUAUAUGGCUUGACUUGGUCUUCAUCAUGUAAUCCAUGUAGUAUUUCUUCCCAGAGAAUGUGGUAUCACAGUGAAGACACCAAUUUUCUUUGUUAAUGCAACAUAUGACUCAUGGCAGGUAAGAUUGUUGUUGUUGUGUUGUGGUGAAUAAGGAAGCAUUAAUUAAUAAGGAAGGUGUUGAUUUGUGUGUUCAGAUACAGAAAAUAUUGGUACCGGGUGUUGGCCAAAACAACAUUCGCAAAGGCUGUGGAAUAUUGGUAUUAUGAAAGAAGGCCAUUCCAUGAGAUUAAUCGCACUUACCCUUGCAACCCCACAUGCCAUAACCUUAUCUUUGAUAACAAUCAUCGCUCAGAUGAUUAGACACUUAUUUGAUAACCAAUGAUCAUGGCCUUUGCCACUCAUCCUUACAAGAUCUCAAGGUAAUUAAUAAUAAUAAACAACAUCCAUGUAAUUAUUUCUAAUAUGUAAUUAAUCUUGUUUAUUUGAGUUAUUUUGUGCACGCAGAGAUUUGAGUUAUAAUAAAGGUGUCUUUGCCUAUUCAUCAACACAACAAACAUGUAGGUUUAUAUAUAAAUUUCUCAGCUCUCAUAUAUGAAAGUCAGUUAAUUUAUUAGAAGUUUAAUUAAUUUGAAUUAUAUAUUUUUAAGUACAGAAAGGAGAAAAGUGCUACUUGUUGAAAAGUAGUAGUAGUAAUGAGGAAUCAAGUAGUAUUGGCUACAAAUUCAAAGAGGAAGAAUGCACAUGUACCAACAAGAAAGUGCACACACAAAUUCAAAAGCUUCUUAUCAUACAUUCUCUAAUGUCCUCUUUAUGUUUCUGGUUUGGGUAAAAAAUAAAGCUAAGUAAGCAAUAAAGCAGUUGCAUUCAUUGACUAGCCACAUUAGCUUAUUAAUUAUAAUGAUAUAUAUCAGCGCUAUGUUUGUCCAAAUAAUUUUCUUCUGGUAUUGAUUUCUCUGUAAUGAUUGAAAAAACCGAAAUUUACUUCUUUUUCUUGUUUAUAAAUGCUCCUCUUUUAAUGUUUUUCUGUUAUUCUACUGCUACAUUGUUACACUUUUUUUUGUAAUUUCUUCUACGAGUCUUUUUUAUUUUUUUCAUGUUCCUAUUGUUGGUUUUGGUACUUUUACUUAGUGUCAGUACUGUUGAUUUGUUUUAUGUUAUAAGAAAAUAUUUUGUUUUUUCUAUUUUUGUUGUAUAUAUGUGAUUGGUAAUCUGUUCUUACUAUGUUCGAAAGUUUCUUAUCAUUGUUAUAUAUAUUAUUUUGCAGAUAUAAUUAUUGUUGCAUGUAUAAGGGACAAGAUACUAGGAUUUGACAAAAAAUAUAUACAAUUGAUAAAACUUGAAACAAAUAUAUUUAGUCUAUUUUUUUAAGUCCUUGUAUUUCAUUUGAAGGACUAUUUAAUUAUCUUUUCAUAUUUUCAUAUGUGAAUUAGAAAUCAUUACAUAAUAGUGUAUUUGAAAUAUUUUAAUUUGAUAAUAUCUAUCCAAUUAAAAUAAGUUGAUAUUUUGUCUUUUUUUUAUAUUUUUAAUUUUAUUGUACUCAUAUUAUAAUAGAAUGCUCAAAUAAUUGUAGCUAUAGAUUAUAGAUAGUGUAGUAUGAGAAGAAUGUUGAAAUGCAUAGAAAUAAUAUUAGAGGCAACGCUGCCAGAUUGAUUCCAUAGUAAUAAUAGAAGAGGCAACACUUCUAAAGUGAUGCCAUAGUUGGUCAAAUAUGCAACACUCCCAAGGGUUGCUACAAUAAUAGAAUAGGCAAUAUUUUUUAUUAGUUGCAAAAUUAGUAGAAAAGAGAACACCUAAUAAGCGUUAUAUUAAAGUCUAUUCAUAAGCGUUGUCUUUGUUUUAGAAUAGGCAACGACCGUAUCUACAAGGCCCCUAAAAGUGUUGUCUUAUAUCCAAAAGUGUUGCUAUAGAUCAAAGGCAACUUUUUUUCAAUAUUAGGCAACACUUUUUAAAUAUUGUCUCAGAUGAAAAAUGUUGUAGUAAUUAUGUUAAUCGUGAGAAUAUCCUAUUGACAAAUAUACAGUAAUUAUAACUAUUAGAAAUUCUCAGAGUGAGUCAGUUUAAUUAUCAUAUCUCUAUAUGCACCACUUAUAUAUAUAAUUUAGUAAAUGAGAUCUAUUAAUCUUCAUCAAACAAAGACUAUAUAUUAAUCGACACGAAUCACUAAUGUUCUAAUUUUAGUGAUUUUAUAAUUAAGAAUAAUUUAAAUUAAAAGUACUAAAAAAUAUAUAUAUCUCAUUAUUAUGAUCCCUACCGUANNNNCCGUAAUUAUUUAUUUUUAAUUUUAAUUAAAGACACUAUAAUAAAUUGUAAAAAUUUAUUCUCCUAUAAAAUAAUAAUAAUUCAUGAUAAUAUUUUAUUAAAUUCACACUUAUCUCCAAUAACAGCCAAUAUUUUUGGAACAAAAUAUUUUCUUCUACCAAUUCUAGAUAAACUGGAUGACAACAAUUUUCUUAUAUGUGGAAAAUAUCUUUGCUAGGAAAAGAAUAAUCUAGUCUUUAAAGGACCAUGCAAAAAUAUUUCAAAUGAAUGGCUUACAUGGCAGCCAUACUGAACUUGUUGAAAAUACUAAUUUGGACUCAAAAUUAAAUAUUUGCAAACUGGCCCAACAUAGUCUGGUUGGACCAACCUUGUAAUGACUAGUUUUUUUUGGACAAAUUGAUGAACGAUUUUUUUUUUGUUUUUGGACUUUUCCAUAUGGACCACACCCACAACCCACCUAAAUACAAAGUCCAGGCUCAAUUACUAUCCACUAUCCAACAACGUUACCCAUGUCCUCUACAACUUUAUCUUCUACCUUCUCAUAUGCGUAAAUUCUAGGAAUGCUAAGACAAAAAAAAAUUCUAGAAAAGCUUCAAAGACAUAAAAAUAUUAAUAACAAAGGAGAUUGAUUUCAAAAAUUUAUAUUAUUUUGGCAGUUGUUGUAUGUAAAAUAUUACUGGAUCGUUGAUAAAUUAUUGUAAAUAAUUACAAAAGACAAAUAAUAAUUUUUCUUUUGGGUGAAAGAUAAUAAAUAUCAAUUUGUAUAAGGUUAGUAUGCGUUGAUACGUAUAAGUGUAUUUUUUAUUUGAAAAUUGAUGAAGUAAUUUUUGGAGAAGCUACCUAGGUAGUGACAAUUAUGAAAUAACAAAAAAAAAUGUUGUACUCUAAUUUUUAAAACUACAGUUAUUCAUAAUGGCUGAAGUAUCUAAUUUGAGUUUACACCUAAGUUAAUAAAUUUUUAAGUAAAGACAUCAUGUCACAGAAGAUUAUUAGUGGACAAAUCUAAUCAACUAAACAAAUACUAAUUACUGUAAUGAAAGAAGAUGGUUGAAGAUGGGCGUUUGUACGAGUAGGAAAUGUUGCAAGUAUUUUAGGCUGUAGUAAUAGGCAUGAAAAUUUCUAGUAGUGUUUAGCAAAAUAGAGUGUUUAGCAAGAAUGACCUGCCUACAUAUUUCAAAUGUUAUAAGUUUAAAUACCAAUCAUGAUCCACAAAAUGUAUGUAUAAUUAAUAAGAAAAGGAUAAAUGUUCAUGAGAUUCCAGAUUUGUAGCGGCAUCGGACCUGCAGGAUUGUAAUUGGUUCAAUUGAGAUGACCUUGAAGAUCCCAACAGCUUUGGACUUGAACUUGCACAUGCUAGUAAAGUCUGUCUAACCUCCAGAAAUUAUCCCGAAGCUACCGCUUUGUGUGCCACUAAAUCUGAUGUAGGUUGCUUCUACCUUAAUGUGGUCGUGGGCAAGGAUGAGUGGGUGCCACUCCUCAUGUUUAUAUGAAAUAGUAAAAAACCAUAAACUAAGUAGUUAUAUCAAACAUGCAAAGAAGAUAGUAAACGCAAAAUAGUGGAGGUUCGGUAGGUAUUUCACAAAUCGUGCCCCAUUCGGCUUUAUGAUAACAUAAAGGAAGGAAUACUAACAAUAAGAUAAAUUUGGGUUUUUCUUAUCCUUGGAAAAAAAUUCGAUGCAACAAGAACUAAGAUGCAAUGAAAAUUUUGUUUUUGUGAUGAAAAAACAAGUAACAUGUCCUAAAGGAGUUGGUGGUUGGCUAUAUUAGUUUAAAUGUCUGAUGAGACGGAUACGGUGACGAAAUCAAAACAACGAUUGAAAAGUAUUCGAAGAAGAAAAGCAGUGGGGAUUACCUUGUUAGUCUUCGUGGCCAUAGUUAGAGUGAGGAAAUUGAGUCAGGGAUUUUUUCAGGAGACGAGUUGGUAGUUGGAUGCAAAACGACGAAGUGAUCUGAGUAUUAUGGUCAGGAAAAUGAAGUCCACAAGUAAUUUCAGUUGGUAUAUAUGAAUGAUAUCUCCCUAAACCUCUUUUUUUCCCUCAUGGGUCAAGGAGGUACAAAAAAGACCUGAUCCGUCCACAAAUAUGAGCUUUUUUUUUGUAAGUAUUUUUUGUUGUUAUGCUUACAAGAGCAAGAGGUUUAAUAAUGGACAUGGGUAUAAUAAAAUAAACAUAAAUAAACUGAUAUCAUAUAACCAUGCAGGCAAACUCAACAAUUAUAUUGAAUUAGGGAAAGUAUAAGGUAUAGUGUGAAUAAUUCAACCAUCAAUAAAAACAAGCAAAUUCAUAACCAUUAAGAAGGAAGAUUGAAUUAGUGAGAGGGUGAGCUUCUUGUAGCAGAGAAGAGGGAUAAUUGAAAUAACAAUCAAUGAAACCAUGCUAACUGCCCCUUUCUCUAUUCCUCUAUUAUAAACAUACCAAAUAUAGUUAUAGUUUAACAAAUUUCAACAAAUCCAAAUUAAUAUACUCACUAGCAAGAACAAUCUCAACAGCAAGAAUCACAAUAACAAUAAUUUAAUGAAUUAACAAGAGCAAGAUUGGAAUAAAAAAAACCAACAACCUAAUAACAAAAAACAAAAGCAAUUUAUAUCCCAAGAAUCACAAUAACAAUUAAAAAAAUCAACGAAUUAACAAUUUACAAAAAAACACAGCAACCCAAUAAUCUGAAGAACAAUAAUAGGUAUAUCAAACAAACAACAACAAAACUUGAAUAGAAAAAUCCAACAAAUUAAAUCACAGCAACCUAACAAUUUAGCAAAUUAAGACAACAGCAGCCCAAUAAUUUAGCAAAUUAUCAACCUAACAAGUUCAAGAACAAAAAAUCACAAUAAAACCAAAAAUAUUAAAGACAACAGAGCAACAACAUAACAGAAGUAAAAAGGUGAAGCAUAUGAAUCUUCUAAAUUGAAAUAGUUAUAUGAUGAAGGUAUAGACAUAGGGUUCCUGGAGAAGAGGUGGCUGGACCGUUGCGGAACUGGAGAAGGAGUGGUUGGACCAUCGCAGAGCGGGAGAAGGGGUGGCUGGACCGUCGCGUAACUAGAGCCGUGGAUGGUGGAACGCGGCGGAACUGGAACAGAGGAGGGUGGAGCGCGGCAGAACUGGAGCAGAGGAGGGCUGGAGCGGGGUGGACCAGAACCGACGCGGCGGAACAACAGCUGCUCCACGGAGAAACGACACGAGACGAGUUGAAGUGGGACGGCGGCUUCGAGCAUAUGCGAUGCAAUGCGACAUGAUGGUUGAGACGAGCAGAGACGAUCCUAAAGUAGUGGGCGACGACUAGACCAGAUUUGACAGCGGCGGUAGGACGGCGGUGGUGAUAGCUUGAAGAAGAGAGUAGCGAUGGAGGCUAGGGUUUUUUCUUUUGAGAGAGGGAUGCAGAUGGAAGAUGAGUGGGAGACAGAAAGGGAGACGGUGACUCGGUAGGCUCUUUUUAUUUUUUUUCAAUUUUCUUUUUUUUUUAAUUUAAAAUUCAAAACGGUGAGUUGAAAAGUGAAAACUGGUCGGGUCCCGGUUCGGUCCGAUUGACCGGUUCCUGGCCGGUCCGACAGUUCAAUUUCGAUUUUUAAAGUAAGCGGUUAUGAUAUUUGUUCGAAUCGUUUUUCUUGUCGAUUCACGGUUCGACCGGUUCAACCAGCCAGUUUGAACCGGUUUUCAGAACCUUACAAGUAGUAAUUAACUAACAAGAUUUGAAAACAAAAUAAAAGAUUUGAUUUUGAAAUUAAAAAGAAAAAAUUUAAAAGAAGAUUUUGAAAUUUAAAAAUUGAAAGAUAGAGUCAAACAAGGAAAGAUAAGGUUUGAAAAAGAUUUAAGGUUAAGUUUUGAAAUUUGAAUUUUAAAUUUCGAAUUUUAAAAUUGAAUUUUAAAAUUUGAAUAAGAUAAGAUAUGAUUUUUGAAAUUUAAAGAAAGAUAAAAAGGAAGAAAAGAUAAAGAGUUGAAAAAGAUUUGAAAAGAUAAGAUUUGAAAUUCAAAAUUUAAACUUUACUAACAAGAAAACACCAAACUUAAAAUUUUUAAAUCAAGAUAAGAAAAGAUAGCAAGAUUUUCGAAAAUUUAAACAAAGAUAAAAGAAUUUUUUUUUAUUUUCGAAUUUUAAAGAAAGAGAAGAACAACUAAGAGACACCAAACUUAAAAAUUUAAGAUCAAAUAACACUAAUUUUCAAAAAUUAAAGGAAAAACAACUAAAAGAUACCAAACUUAAAAUUUUUAAAAUCAAACAAGAAAAAUUAUCAAGAACAAUUCGAAUAUUAAAAAGAACACUCAAGAACAGUUUUCAAAAAUUUAAAGAAAAAUAUGAAAACAGACGGGACACCAAAUUUAAAAACUGACACAAGACUCAACAAAAGUCAAAGAUUACUAAAGAAAAUAAAAGGUUUUGAAAAAUUUUUGAAAAAGAAAACAAAAGACAUAAGCAAAAGGGCAAAUAAACCUUAAAGAAUACCUAAUCUGAGCAACAAGAUAGUCCGGUAGUUUAUCAAUCUCGAACAAUCCUCGGCAACGGCGCCAAAAAUUUGGUGUACGAAAUUGAACUCCGCACAACUGAACCGGCAAGUGCACCAGAUCGUCCAAGUAAUACCUCAGGUGAGUGAGGGUCGAAUCCCACAGAGAUUGUCGGAUUGAGCAAGAAAUGGCUAUCUUGUAAAUCUUAGUCAGGCGAUUAGAAAAGAUGGUUGUUUGUUUGAAAGCAUAAACGAAAUAAUAAAUACGAAAUACCAGAUUGAUGUGAAAACAGUGUUAGAGAUCCAGUUAAGGCUCCGGAGAUGCAUAUUCUUUCCGGAUUAACUUUUCUUACUGUCUACUUCAAUAACGAAUGAUUCAUUCAAUGGCAGCCAUAAGUGACUAACUCAUGUCCUCUCAUCAAGUUAAUAUCUUCUAAACCACAGCAAUCCACCAUAUCCGAGCAACUCAUGUCCUCUCAUCAAGUUGACUUAUGGCUUCGCACUGCAGCCGAAGAUGAAGCUCUAAGCAAUCCACUCCCCUUCGUGAUCCUACUCAAAAUGCCACAGAUAAGGUCGGAUCUUCUGGAUUAGAGAGUGCUGCUUCUCUUACUCUAGCCUUAGCGCCACAGAGACCUCAGUAACCCACGGUCAAUGGUAUUUCAUGUCACGUAUCCAAAGUUGCCCAGGCACGCUCUUGAAAUCCGUAAUGCAUUCUCGAGCUUUAAUUCAAUACUAUCCGGGUCUGGACUCGCACGGAACCCAUGUAGAACAAGGAUGAAUGUCACGGUUCACCCUCAAUUCAUUGAGAUUGAAGAAUGAGAACUCCUAAGAGAAUAGAAUUAGACAUAUUGAAAUAGAAACAAUAGUAUUAUUAAUACAUGAGAAUCAGUAGAGCUCCUAACCCUAACUUAGGAGGUUUAGUUGCUCAUAGCUUACAGAAGGAUAGUGUGUAAUUCAAAAAUAGGGUGGAAGAAGAUCCUAAUAGGGUUGAUCUUCUCCUUUAAAUACUAAUCUAAUAACUAGAGAUUACAGAAAUAGGAUAGACUGGACUUUUAAUGCGAAAAUCUACUUCUUGGGCCUACUUGGUGAGUGUUUGGGCUGAGGUUGGGGUGACUCCACGUGCUGGGACCCCUCUUGGGGCGUUGGACGCCAGGCUUUCUACCUUUUGGGCGUCAAAAUGCCAGCUUGCUCCCUUUGGGGCGUUGAAACGCCAGGCAGGGGGUCAGAUGUGCGUUCAACGCCCAUUUUGGGCCAUCAUUUCCAAAGAUAAGUAUAGACUAUUAUACAUUUUUUAAAAGCCCUUGAUGUUAACUUUCCAAUGUCGUUGAAAGUGCAUCACUUGGAUCUCUUUAGCUCCAUAUAUCCUCAUUUGAAUGCAUGAAGGUCAGAAUCUGACACCAUCUGCAGUCCUUUCUCUGUCUCUGAAUUAGGUUUUUUUUCAAAACUUGCCAGAAUCACCCAAAAAUCACCUAAACACAUAAGAAAAAUACAAAAACCUAUUAAAAAUUGAUAAAACUUAACAAAACAUAACCAAAAAUACUAAGAAAACAAUACUGAAAAGUGUAUAAAAUAUCCGCUCAUCAUUAUCUUCUUCCUCCUUCCAGGCAAGAGUUUUGGACAAGAUUUUUGCAACCACGUUCCCAGAGAUGGACAUCUUAAGAAAUCAUCCACCUCUAUUUGAGUGGAAUCUAGAAUUUGUCCUGGGUGUUCCGAAUUAGAACAACUAAUAAAUAUUUAUGUGAACCUGUAAACCCUAAGUGGUUAUGUGUCUUCGAGUAUUGCCAACUCGUUUCUCUUUUUGUUUCUGUGGGUGUAACAUGACAUUGCUACAAAGACAAGUCGUGGAUGAUGCUGUGGCUUCAGAUGGAGCAAAUGUUCACUACCAACCCUGCUGGCCAGAAGAAGGUAGUUUCUAGCUUUUGAUUCGCUAUAUGCUACUUAAAACUCUGUCUGUUGUGUAAAGAUUUCUGAUGAUCUCCAUGAAUGCAUAUUUUUUCAUGUUGAAGAGCAUAGACCAAUUAUCGGACAAGAUACGAAUUGACACUGCAAUAGGCAUAGUUAAUGAGCACUUCAAUGAGCCGAGGGAUGAAAUUAGGCAGUGGGCUGAGGUGGAUUAGAAGAGUUGUAAGGCCAUGGCAGCCCUUUUCCUAUGACCAUGUGAAUCAGAACGAUCAAGAGGCUUUCCUUCCAAGUUAACCAACUUAAAUAAUUCCCCUGUUACUCAUGUUUUAUUUAUGGUUUAGGGUAUAUAUCCCCCAUGUGCCAUUUGUUUUGAAUACUUUGGGCUCUUUAUAUCCCCUUUUGUCAAAGCUAGGGUCAGCCAUCACUUUGAAGUGGUGCCGAAUUGUCAUUAAACAAGACUCCACUUCGAUGUUGAGGCUACCCGACUAUGCAUUUUUAAACUUAUUCGGACAUGUACAUCCGAAGUAAUGCAACUUGAUGGGCAUUUCUUAAAUAUUUUGUGCCGCAUGCAAGGAAACAUCGUAUUCAUAUCUACUAAGGUUGACCCUAUAACAUUAAUGUUAACGUACAUGCAUAAUAUAGCGGUGCUUUCCUUUUUUCUAUAAGUGUGGCGACGAAUUCUGAUGUCGAAUGUGUAACCCCAAAUUCAUCUUCUUCUGUUAUAAACACGAUUCACGCAUGCAAGGAAACCUUAUAGCCCUAGCAAUUAUGUUCAUACUAACGUGAGGGGAACAGAAUAAACUGGUUCCACUAAUGAUAACGAUAACAUAAAGUUAAGCCACCUCCUAACACAAAGAAAGGGGUCACGAGUUUCUAGGCCAAAAUCCUACAAUUGACACCCACACUAACUGUUGCAUCACAGUUUCACCUCGUUUAGGAAGACCUUUGGUAUGUUUUAUCUAAGCUAAAGCUUCAAUAAACCACAACAAUGCCAUCCUCUUCAAACCAAACUACAAAGUACGAAACAGAACACAUACAAUAAAAACGUAAAACCUAAAUUGUAACUGAAUCUUCUACCACACAGGAGAAAGAUACAAACCAAAGACUUCCACACAAGCAACACUAACUCCAACUUUCAACAGCUUGUCCUAGCUUAGUAUGCACGCCAUUCGGGACAUAUUGGACAAUAAAAGUAUUAUACAAAAAUAUCGCUACAUAAUUUAUAUUGCUAGAGAAACUAUUAGAUUUACAAACAUUGUUACAUCAUUACAAAACAUCACAAAAUAAUUGAACGAAAUCACAUAGGGCACAACAGCCAACACUGCAUUACCAUUUAACUCAUUUUUUAUCUACAUCAAGUUUUUCACUAUUCUACAACAACUCCUACUAUUCUACGGCAACCCGUCCUAGACCCUAAACCUACACAGAUCAGACACAUACAGCACAAGUUGACCCCCCCACCACAAGUUAACAUAGUAGUUGCAUUACCCACACAGUUUCUAUUACCGUUCAACCGAAUUAAAAAGAUCUUCAUAGAUUAUAACUUAUGCAUAUAUCCAUCCAAAUGUCAUUACCACAUGUGGAUUACCUAAAAACAUAAACAAUUAUCCCUAAAGAUGAAUUACCUCCACGAAGAUUAGUUCAAGAAACUCCCUCUACAUCGAAGUAGUCGUCACAUUCCUCUCCUCUUACCAUGUUUUCAUAAGCUGCCGCUGCCUCACAACUAUCGAUGUUCUCCCCCAGUUGUGAUUCAUGAAAAUUUUGAGUAUUGUGUCCAGACUUUCCACACAGUUGGCACUUCUGAACACGGUGGAACUUACCCGUAGUCGUGACAACUCUUCGUCUGCAUCCUUUGUACCUUGCUCGCAACGGGUCUCAAAUAAAAAUCCUACUAACUUCUUUAGCAACGCCUAGCCUUUGGUAAUGUUUCUCUCGCAGGGAUAGGCACUCCUUGGCCAAUCUUGUUUUCACGUCGAAGUAGUCGUCAAAGAACCGACAGGAUAGGUUCACCAAUUCCCUACAAUCCUCCAAGAUUGCCGUGUGCAUGCUCAUGUAUGUUGCGUCUGGAAUCUCCCCAACACAUAUUCUGUUGCUGGUCAUACUCGGUUGCUUUGCCCUCUUUGUUUGAUGUUGAUUGGGUUGUUUCUUGAUUGAAUUUUAUCAAUGCACUUAUGCUUUGCCUUAAAUUACUAGCACCUAAUUGGACUUGCACAUUUACAUUUUGUUUCAUAUUAGGUAAAAUUUUUAUAAGUGCACAUUGGAUUAAGUGAAUUGAGUUGAAAUUACUUGUUCAUUAUGAUUUUCAUAUCAAAUUCGGCACAUAACAAGAUACUUGUUUGUUUUUAAUGCUUUGCAUUUAUUUGAGUGACUUGACUUGAUUCUUAUCAAGCUUAUCACUUUUUGCAAUAAAUACCUUUACCAUGUGACUAUUUCAUUAUGUUUCAAGAUGAAUAAGUAGUCUUCUUCUUAUUGGAUUGGUUAUUGCUUAUUGUGCUUCCGUAUCAACCUUGCGCUUUCACUUGCACAACUUCAAUAUCCAAUAUCUCAAUUACUCAAUUCACUUUUGUGGUUAUCUAGGGUUGCUUAUGCCUUAAGUUUUGCUUAUUCUUUACUUGCAACUUAGGCUACUUAAUUGAGGAAUAUAUGCUAUUUCUUUUGAUAGUGUGGAUACUGUUUACCCGGCCAAUGUAUGUGUUCUAACCCGUGCGCACAUUUAGAAUACACACAUUGUCUUUUAUCAUACCAUACACAUAUGAACUCUUCCUCAAUUGUUGUUUAUUUGUUUAUACAGUAACCCAGAGCCCUGAUGCCCACCAGUUGAAAGUGGAGGAACUUGGAGCCUCACUUCUCUUCCCCCCGGAUUGUGUGCAUGCACGGAGGACCGUGCAACGUUUAAGUGUGGGGGAGGAUCCGUAAUUUUCGGGGCGUAAAUUUCUCUUUCUCAAUACUUUACAUUAUUUUCUAGUUUUUAGUAGUUAUACUUUCUUGUGAAUAUUUGUUGAUAUUUCAUUACAUUGAAUUUUACUUAGUUUGCUUGUAUAUAUCUUAGCUUGCUUAUGGUUUUAUUGUAGUAAAUAUUUGCAUUUGCAUUUUCCCAGUAUAGGAAAAGCAUCUAUUUUGGAUUGAUUGGAAUUCUCUUGUGUGUUUUUGUCAAACUCCAUAGGGAACCAUAGUAUAGAUAUAGAUAGAUAGUAUUUAGCAUAGUUGCAUGUAUGUAAGUAUUUGCAUUGAAUAAGUUGCUUGUCCUUUUACCCUUCUCCUUUGAUUGUAUUAAGUGUAGGAAAAUUGAUGAAUCCAUAUUUGACAAUAAAUUUUGGUUUGAUUUGAGUGGAUUUCAUCACAUAAACUCACACUUAAUCGCUAAAAUAGCAUACUUUUAUGUUUUCUCUCUAAAUUGUGCCUAAUUGUGAAAACAUGCUAUUUUGUACUUAAUUUGAUCAAUUUUAUCCCACUUUCAUUCCAUUUGAUGCCUUGAUGGUUUUGAUGAGUGAUUUUAAGUGCAAUAGGUUGGACUGGCUUGAUAAGAGUGGAAGAGAAGCAUGCAUUUGGGAGAGAAUAUGAAGAAAUCAAAGAAGAAGCACACAGCCAUGUGUGCGUACGCACAACAUCCAGUGCAUAUGUACAAAAAGGAAAUCAGCAUGCAUUCAUACGCACAACACUCUGUGCGCAUGCACAAGUGGAAAAUUUGGCAAAGUGUGCGUACUGUGCGUACGCACAAGUACCAGCACGUGACUUCAUUAAAAAGUCAUGUAGCUCGCAUUUUGGGAGGCUUUUUGGCCCAUUUCUGAUCACUUGGAGUAUAUAAGGAGGCUAACAACACAACAUACUCAUACCAUACUUCAUACAACACAUUUUAAGAGUAGUUUUAGGGUAGUUUAGUUUAGGUUUUUCUCUCAAUUUUCCUUAGGUUUAAUUAGGGUUUGUAGUAUUUUAUAGUUUAAUUUUUGGUCUUGGAUUUUGCUAUCUCAUUGUAAGUAUUCCUUGAUUUUUCCUUUUAUCACAUUACUUGUUCUACAAUUUCAAAUAUUUUAAUUUCUUUUGUCAAUAUAUAUAGUUUUGCAAUUUUGAGUUCUAGUUCAUGAAUUUGAUGUUUGAUGGUUAUUUUAUGUUUGUUGAGUUGUCUUUGUUGAUUGUGAUCAUUUGUGGUUUAUAGUUUUCAUCAUUUUUCCAAUUUUACCAUGUUUUAUUAUUAUGCCCACUAUGUGUUUGAUAAAAUGCCAAUUUUGAUUAUGGGGUAAAUUUCCACCCCUUGGCUUGGGGAAAUGAAAUUAUGGAAUACUAGAGUCAUAAUGUCCAAUAUUUAGUGAUAAUUCUUGGGUUGUUAGUUGUUAUUGUUUCCACUAACGCUAGCUUCUUACUAAGGUAAUUAGUAAGUUAGCUAGGAUUUGUGGAUUUAUAACAAUUAUGCUCACUUGACCUAUCCUUCGAUGUUAAGGGUUGACCUAGUGAGAUUAAUCCAUCAUAAUUAUCAUAGUUGUGGUUAUGGCAAGGAAGGAAUUCCAUAACUCAUCCCAAGUCAAGGUUCUGUUUAUGUUUUGAACUACAUUUCCAUCAAUUUUGAGUCUUACUUGUCUAUAUUACAUACAUAGUUCUUUUGUUCCUUUAUUUGUUUAUUAAUUACAAUUUUGAAUCGUUCUUUUAUCUCUUUAUUUGUUUGCUUCCUGGUUAUUGAAAACCCUCUUGAUCAUCGCAACCAAAAUUGUGCGCUCUUAGGCAUUAGUUCCUAGGGAAGACGACCCGAGGUUUAAUUACUCUCGGUUAUUUUAAUUUGAAAAAUAAACUUUGAUGUUUGGGAUUGAAUUGCCGGUUUGGACUAUGCUAUCAACGAAAUACUUAAUUUCAAUUGAGAAAUUCUAAACCGGUGCAAAUCCUUCAUCAUCAAGUUUUUGGCGCCGUUGCCGGGGAACUAGUGCAAUGAGUGCUAUAGUUUUAGUUGUUGUGAAUAUGUGAAUAGUGUGAAUAGAUACUUUUUGGGUUGUUUGAUUGUUUUUGCUAUUAAUUAGGAUUUUAUUUCUUUUGUUAAUUGAUGUCUUUAGUUUUUAUUUUCUAUUUUCUCUAUGAGUUAUCACCCUCUUGGUUUGGAGUUUGGUUGUGAUCAUUUUGUAGGACUUGAUAACUUCAAUUUUGGAUUGCAUCAUGGAAUUGGAGAAUCAAUUUUGGAAGGAGCAACCUCCUCUAUACUACAAUGAGCAAAACCCUCCCCAAUAUGCAUACCCAAACCAAGGAUAUGGUGGAUUUCACUUUGAUUAUGCACCUCCACCACCAUAUACCUAUGACCCAUACCCCCAACAUAAUCCUCAAUCACCACAUUUUCAAAUACCAAACCACUACUACCAUCCACCUUCUUACAUACCACCUCAAAACACUUACCAACAUGAGUCACCUCCCACACAUACAACCUUCCUCCCAAACAAUGGACCUCUUUCUUCACCCCAAUAUGAAGUUUUUCCACCCUUGACCCGAGACCAUCAAGACCUUCAAGUUUUUCUCCAAGAGCAAGAAGGAUUCCGAAGAACACAAGGGCAAUUCAUAGCUACCAUAGCCGAAACGGUUAAUCACUUGGUCCUACUACGCUCAUCCGAUCAAGGCAUUCUUCUUGAGAAAUAUGGAGGGUCAACUAAAGAUUGGAGUAAAAAGGAGAAUGUGGAGCCUCAAGGGAAAGAAGAAGAUUUAGAUGCAACAAGAGGGAGAAAGUGAAGUAUGUGAACCGAAGAAGAGAAAGGGAGAAUUGAGGGAGAUUGAUCAAGAUGAGGAUUCCAUCAUUGAUGAUUUUUUGUCCUCCUUGGUCAAUCCCCGUAAUGACCUUAAUGAGCCUCUUCCCAUUGAAUUUGAGAAAGAUAUGGAGGUAGACUUCUCACAACCUCCUUGUUAUGACUUAAGUGAUGGGGAAGAGGAAGUUGGUGAGAAAGUAAUUUCGUUCCAAGAACGUAUUGAGUGGGUGGCAAUUUCACCUAUGAACUUCAUUGGCCCCAUCAAUAUGCUAUCUUGGAGAUGGAUUACCAACUCAAAAUCCUUCUUGGGUUGUUGCAUGGUGGAGGAAAGGGUGUUGGUUGCCAAGUGAAUCCAAGGGACUUCAAGAGAACCAAAUCUAGAAUUGGAGCUCAAGUGGGAUGCAAGGCACAAUGGAGUAAUUUCUGAAGAGUGUUGGGGUACUUCACGGGUCAUUUGAGAGCUUGUCCAUCCGGCUUGGAGCAUAGAAAUCCACAAGAAGGAGAAUGAGAAACUAGAAUAUGGGAUCCCGGAGGAGCUUUGAAGUGCAAGCUUGGAUAGAGAUUCAAGGAGGAGUGGAAACACAAGCCACCCUAGCAAGAGUCUCCUCAACAAGUCCAACUUAGGGACUAUAAACCAAAGUGCUAGGUGGGAGACACCCCACCAUAGUAACAUCUUUCUUACCCUUUCUCUUUAUUUAUAGUCUUGUUUCAUUGCAUUUUGCUUCUUUUAGCUAGCUUAGAAUUAGUUUAAUUUUGAGCUUAGAUAUGUUAAUUUCUAUAUGGAUCAUGAAUUUAUGGGUUUUUGAAUGUUUUGGAGUUGAAAUUUUGAUUGAGCUAAGGUGCAAUGUCUUAAAUUUGAAGAAACUUUUUUGGGAAAAACAGGGCAUGUGCGUGCACACACCAUUGUGCGCGCGCACACAAUCGGUAAAUUUUGCGCCCUGUGCGUACGCACCACCCUGUGCGUAUGCACACCAGCCUCUAUGCCCUCUGUUGGGAGCGCUUGCACGCCUUGUGCGUGCGCAUUCCCCUGUUUUCUUGCGCUUUGUGCGUGCGCAUGCCAUUGUGCGUAUGCACGCAACCUUCUUUUUGCGCACUUUAUGCGUACGCACCACAUUGUGCGUACGCACACCAGCUUGCACCCAUUCUGUUGGGAGCGCUGGUAUUGCCUAUGCGCAUGAACCCCUCCAAAUUCUUGUUCCUGUGCGUGCGCACGCACACAUGAUCCUUCCCCAAGUAAAAAAAAAAGUCCUCUGUGCGUGUGCACACUUCGCAAUUCCUUCUCUGGUCAGAGCAUUCGCACAUAUCUGUGCAGACGCAUACCUUCCAUUUUCCACCUCGUGUGCGUACACACACAUACCUGUGCGUACGCACAAGUGCUGUUUUGGGCAACAUUUUCAUUAUGUAACACCCCAAUUACCCUAAGCCUUACCUCUAGCCGUAAAGCAAAGGUUAAUCAGAGGUUACGACAGUCCUAAGGCUUAUACAUAUUUAUAUAUAAAAGAAAAUAAUAUAAUCUAGAAGCCUGAUGAAGGAUAUAGCUCAAAUACAGAGUUACAAAAGCGCGAAACAUUCACACGCAGCUAACGCAUAAAAUACAAGAUAUAGAAGCAAAAGAAUGAAAUAUAUAUAGAUAUAAUAUUAUAAUAAAUCAUAGAGAACUAGCCGCAACUUGCAGAGUUUAAGCCGAUUAGUUAUAAAUAGAAAGAUACAGAGUUUUAGAAUCAAAACAGCUUAUACAACCUAUCUCUCAAAUAAACCUCUAAGGCCACAAAGAUAAAACACAACAAGAUGUGAGAGUAACUAUAACAAAGUAAAAUAAAUUAAACCAACGAGGAACCAUACUCCGCUCUGUCACCAUAUCCGCAAUCUCACCGAAGUAGAUUACGACCUGCAUCUGAAAAAUAACAACAAAGUAUGGAAUGAAAACCGGAGGUUCUCAGUAUGGUAACAAUGCCAAAAAUGUAAGAUGUAAGGCUCCGGGACGCCGAAGGCAAUCCUAUAACUUCACAUCAAACCGAUAUUCAAGCUUAGAACAAAAAAAUAUAAAUAAAGAACUUAAACCGUAAACCGGGUUAUCUAAACUUAGUGGAAUUCUAACUAAACUAGUCACACCGCUGUAUCCCACAGCCCUCGCCAACCAAACCUCCGUGCGAUCCCAUCGCCACCGCCUACCUAACCUCCUCAGGACCAAACAAACACAAAUAAUACAAGCAAGAAAAGCACAGGUAGAAUUCAUACAUGUAACAAGUAAGUCAAGAAGCAAGUAGGCAUAUUAUACAAUUAGGCAAACUCAAGUAAUCAAAGCAAGCAAGCAUAUAGAAGAUGCAUAUGAUGAAUGCCUGUCCUAUUGGCUCUUGAUAUCACUUGUCGGUCCAUAAAUGCCAACCCGACACAUCCUCCCGAAUGUAGCCUUUUCUGCCACGCCAGGGAUAUAGUGCCCUGCACACUCCUUUAGCAGCUCUUCUGCUACGCCAGGGGUAUAGUGCCCUACAAACUCAUGUAGUAGGGAGUCUACUACGCCAGGGAUAUAGGCCUCGUACACUUCAUGCAGUAGAGAAGGAAAUAACCAUAGCAAAUCAUGCAACAGAACAAUCUGUCACGCCGGGGAUAUAGGCCCCGCACACUCCUCAACAUUCAACAAGUCAUGCAACAGAAACAUCUGCCACACCGGAGAUAUAGGCUCCGCACACUCUCAACAACAACUAGUCGUGCAGCAGAACAAUCUGCCACACCGGAGAUAUAGGCCCCGCACACUAUCAAUAAUCCAAUAACUUCAUCCUCAAAUCAUCACCAGACAUCACCAUUUCUCAUUUCAAAUCACUUUCAACAACAUCUACUCAUGCAGUAGAGAAACCUGCUACGCCAGGGUUAUAGGCCCUGCACACUUUCCUUCCAUAUCCAUCAUCAGUUCUUAAUUCUAUUCCGAACUCAUUAGUUCCUCAUUUCUCAAUUCCAGUACCAUUCUCCUUUCUCACUCCACCAAGCCCAUCCUCAGUACACCAGAAACCUAAACCUCUGUUUGUUAACUUUUCAAAAUAAUCAUCAACUAAAACCCUUAGCUUAAUUCCCAUGUUCUAAUACUCAAAACUAGGCCCAAGAGUCUUAAAAUAGUGUUAUAGAAGCUUACAACCUUGUUGGAAAGGUAGAAUAGUUGAAAAACAAGUAAAAUUUGAGAAACAGGGCGUGUGCGUCCGCACAGGGGUGUGCGUGUGCACGCCCAGGAAAUUUUUAAAAGUGUGCGUACGCACAGGAGUGUGCGUACGCACAGGUGUCAAAACUCAAAAUGGUCUGUUCACUCGCACAACCUGUGACAGCGCCCCCAACAAACUGGCCUCCCCAACGUGUGCGUGCACACAGGUCUGUGCAUAUGCACAGGUUACAAUUUCCCAUUGGUGUGCGUGCACACAAGCUGUGCCAGCGCUGCAAGCAGAGUGCCUGCCUCUGCUUGUGUGGAUGCACAGGUCACAAUUUUCGCAGAGUGUGCGUGCGCACAUACCAGAAAACUCAUAAUUCUGUAACUUUGCAGAAUUUUCAAAUUUUCAACACCAGCUUUGAAUGAUCAUAAGUUCUUCUACAAAAUUCCAAAUUUUGCAAACUUUAUAUUGAUUGAAAGGGGUUUUUAAAGAUCUUUGAUUCUAAACAAAUUUCAACCAAUUUUGAAAACCGAGGCAAAAGUUAUGAUCAGACAAAGUUCACCAAAAAUCUAUUUUUACCCAAAAACCUCAUAACAUCAAGUUAACUAACUUUCAAACCAAAACCAAUCUAAAUCAUCCCAAACAAUAUCAAAACAUCCUAAAAAUCCCUACCUCUCAUUCUUCAAGCUCAGCCAUCAAUAAUCUCCCCUUUACACUAGUCUAUACCAUCAAAAUCAUUAUCCUCCAACAAACCAAAAAUCAUCACAAACAAUCCUAAUAUUCACAUCCAACAAUUAAUAUCAAAUUUAUCAACUUUGUCAAAUUACCAACAACAUCAAUAUUCUUUAUCAAUCACCAACCAUAUCAACAAGCCCUUACCAACAUAAUAAAUCACAAAUUCAUCAACAACCUUCACAAUCAUUAAAUUUCAACAAUCAUCAUUAAAUCAUACUUAUCAUAAUCAUUAUUAUUCUAAUUCCUUCCACACCACACCAAUACAACAUCUAUCAAUUCCCAUCAACAACACCAAUCCUCACUCUAUCAUCAAAUUCAAUAUCCAUCUCCAACAACAUACUACCAACAUCAAUAUAACCAUUUAUCAAUCAUUUCAAAUCAUCAAUUACCAUGCAACACUUCCAUCAACAUAACCAAAGUUUAUCAAAUCAUCAUAAAUCAUCAUAUCUCAACAUUCAACAACUCAACAUCUAUUUUAAUUCAAACCUAUCUUAUGGGUCUCUAGUCUAAGUUUCCAGAAAUAUUACAUAUUAUAUAAAAAAAAUCGAAACCAUACCUUGGCCGAUUCCCAAAUACACCAAACACCAAAACGAAGCCACCAAACUUGAUCCAAGGCCUCAACCAACUCCAACAAACACCAAAGCUCAAACUAACAACAUAUAUAUAUACCAACAUCAAAACCUAAGAUACACAAAGCAACUAAACACAAGGGUUUAGUGAAACCUUACCUUAUCCAACGAGAUUAGGGGUAAAAUCCAAUAUUUAUCCGCUACUAGAGAUCACCUAAACAAGCAAAACCACAAAACUUGCUGAAGAACUAAACCCAAAACGUGCAGAAACUUAGGGCAGAAAACUAGGAAUUAGAAGGAGAUUCUUUACCAGUUUUUUAGAUAGAAUGGAAGAGCUCGUCAAGAGCUUCACGUGGCCACAAACUGCUCGUCAAUCGGAGGUCCGUAGCUCAAGUUAUGGCCCCCGGACGGUGGAGGUGAAUAGUAAUACCACCCCUUUCUCCCCUCUUCUCUAAAUCCGUGGCCCUCUCUCUCUUUUCCCAACAAAAUGAGUUUAAAACUCAUUAAACACACACACACACACAGCUCGAUGAGAGCUUUGCAUGGCCGAAACGGCUCGUCAAUCGGAGCUCCGUAGCUUAAGUUAUGGCUCCCGGAAGGUGAUGAUAAAUAGUGUCACCAAACCCUCACCUCUCUUCUCUCUCAAUCCGCGUGACUCUUUUUGUCAAGGGUGAAAAUGAGCUGAGUUGCUCAUUAAUUCACUUAUAUAUGUUGGGCCUUGGGUCCGGUUUUGGCCCGGUCCAAUCCAUUAGCGUUUUUAGUCUAUUUGGCCCAUUUUGGGCCAAAACCUUUAAGAUUAGCGCCCGGUUUUCAAUUAUAAAUUAUUUUUAUCCUUUCAAAACAAUAAAUCAAUUUUUUCAAAAUAUUAUUUUUUUCAAAACACAGUACCGGACAGGCUUAAACCGGUUCGACCGGUUCGGCUGCCGGUUCUCGGUCUUUCGCAGAAAAUAUAUUUUUCGACUCAGAAAAAUUCAUUGAAACCAAAUUUCACCUUUUUACUUUCAAAUUAAAACUUCUAAAUUUUGAAUCCAUCUCGGGCACUUAAAAUUAUUACUUUUAUUAAAACGGUUUUGCGUGGAAAACCCGGUUCUUACAUCCUCCCCUCCUUAAAAGAUUUUUGCCCUCGAAAAUCGAAUCACGCGAUAUAUCCUCCUCGAAACGCCCUACUGUGCCGAUGUCCCUUUUCGCCUUCCGCUGCGUCACUCUGAUUAUCGUCAUUAAGAAUCCGAAAUUUUUCCUUAAAACAAAUACAGAUUUUUGUAACAUUCUUCCAAAACCUUCAAAACAAGUUCAAUAUCAAACCUUUUUCAAAAGACUUAAAAUCAUUUAUUCUUAAAUCAAAACCUUGCAAAUUGAAUCCUUUUUGUUAAGUUAAGAUUGAAACCAAAUUCACAAUUUAGCAAAACCAUGGAUUUUACCUUCCUUCUAAAUCAUAAUUUCAAGUUGAAUCCCUUUUUGAUAAGAUAAAUCAUAAACCAAAAUCACAAUUCAAGAAAAUCCUAAAACUCACUUUUUCUGUAAACCAUAUUAUUCAGACCAAGAGUUUUGACUUAGUUUCAAAAGCAAAAUAUUUAAACCAAAAGUUUCAAACCAAAUUUGAAAAUCAUGUCAACCUUUAAAACCCUUUUCAACAUGGUUCAAGACAAUAUCAGUUAGAAAUUGAAAAUCAUAAGUAAAAAUCGUAAAAGAAACAGUCGGCACUUCUCUUGCCACCAGUGUUGAGCCGCACCCGUCAACUGAUAAGUCACAACCCCACGAACUGGUUUUCCGAAACAUGUUGAGCUCGUAACGCAUAGGGUAGGUUAGCCAUCCUCACUACCUUUCCGUUAACGUGAUCGACCUCAUUCGUGAGUUGCCAUUCGGGUUUCCUUUCCACACCAAACAGUCGAUAUCAAGGUGAUCACUCUCAAUAUCGAAAGUCUAAUGCUUCAAUUAUCCCAAAAAGGCACUCACAAAUAAGCAUGCUAUGCAAUAUCAAGGAGAUAACCUAAAUAGCAUGAAAGAAAACGACACACAGAGUAUGCAAUGAAGCACAAUCGGUUCAUCCCUCAGGCUCACGAGGACGAACCGCUCUGAUACCACUAAAUGUAACACCCCAAUUACCCUAAACCUUAGCUCUAGCCAUAAAGCAAAGGUUAAUCAGAGGUUACGACAGUCCUAAGGCUUAUACAUAUUUAUAUAUAGAAGGAAAUAAUAUAAUAUAGAAGCCUGAUGAAGGAUAUAGCUCAAAGACAGAGUUACAAAAGCGCGAAACGUUCACACAAAGCUAACGCAUAAAAUACAAAAUAUAGAAGCAAAAGAAUGAAAUAUAUAUAGAUAUAAUAUUAUAAUAAAUCAUAGAGAACCAGCCGCAGCUUGCGGAGUUUAAGCCGACUAGUUACAAAUAGAAAGAUACAGAGUUUUAGAAUCAAAACAGCUUAUACAACCUAUCUCUCAAAUAUGCCUCUAAUGCCACAAAGAUAAAACACAACAAGAUGUGAGAGUAACUAUAACAAAGUAAAAUAAAUUAAACCAUGGAGGAACCAUACUCCGCUCUGUCACCAUAUCCGCAAUCUCACCGAAGUAGAUUACGACCUGCAUCUGAAAAAUAACAACAAAGUAUGGAAUGAGAAUCGGAGGUUCUCAGUAUGGUAACAGUGCCCAAAAUGUAAGAUGUAAGGCUCCGGGAUGCCGAAGGCAAUCCUAGAACUUCACAUCAAACCGAUAUUCAAGCUUAGAACAAAAAAAUAUAAAUAAAGAACUUAAACCAUAAACCGGGUUAUCUAAACUUAGGAGAAUUCUAACUAAACUAGUCACACCGCUGUAUCCCACAGCCCUCGCCAACUGAACCACCGUGCGAUCCCAUUGCCACCGCCUACCUAACCUCCUCAGCACCAAACAAACACAGAUAAUGCAAGCAAGAAAAGCAUAGAUAGAAUUCAUACAUGUAACAAGUAAGUCAAGAAGCAAGUAGGCAUAUUAUACAAUUAGGCAAACUCAAGUAAUCAAAGCAAGCAAGCAUAUAGAAGAUGCAUAUGAUGAAUGCCUGUCCUAUUGGCUCGUGAUAUCACUUGUCGGUAUAUAAAUGCCAACCCGACACAUCCUCCCGGAUGUAGUCUUUUCUACCACGCCAGGGAUAUAGUGCCCUGCACACUCCUGCAGCAGCUCUUCUGCUACGCUAGGGAUAUAGUGCCCUGCACACUCAUGCAGCAGCUCUUCUGAUAUGCCAAGGAUAUAGUGCCCUACACACUCAUGUAGUAGGGAGUCUACUACGCCAGGGAUAUAGGCCACACACACUUCAUGUAGCAGAAAAGGAAAUAACCAUAAUAAAUCAUGCAGCAGAACAAUCUGCCAUGUCGGGGAUAUAGGCCCCGCACACUCCUCAACAUUCAACAAGUCAUGCGACAUAAACAUCUACCAUGCCGGAGAUAUAGGCUCCGCACACUCUCAACAACAACUAGUCAUGCAGCAGAACAAUCUGCCACGCCGGAGAUAUAGGCUCCGCACACUAUCAACAAUCCAAUAACUUCAUCCUCAAAUCAUCACCAAACAUCACCAUUUCUCAUUUCAAAUCACUUUCAACAACAUCUACUCAUGCAGCAGAGAAACCUGCUACGCCAGGGUUAUAGGCCAUGCACACUUUCCUUCCAUAUCCAUCAUCAGUUCUUAAUUCUAUUCUGAACUCAUUAGUUCCUCAUUUCCCAAUUCCAGUACCAUUCUCUUUUUUCACUCCACCAAGCCCAUCCUCAGUACACCAGAAACCUAAACUUCUGUUUGUUAACUUUUCAAAAUAAUCAUCAACUAAAACCCUUAGCUUAAUUCCCAUGUUCUAAUACUCAAAACUAGGCCCAAGAGUCUUAAAAUAGUGUUAUAGAAGCUUACAACCUUGUUGGAAAGGUAGAAUAGUUGAAAAACAAGUAAAAUUUGAGAAACAGGGCGUGUGCGUCCGCACAGGGGUGUGCCUGCGCACGCCCAGGAAAUUUUUAAAAGUGUGCGUACGCACAGGAGUGUGCGUACGCACAGGUGUCAAAACUCAAAAUGGUCUGUUCACUCGCACAACCUGUGCGAGCACCCCCCAACAAACUGGCCUCCCCAACGUGUUCGUGCGCACAGGUCUGUGUGUAUGCACAGGUUGCAAUUUCCCAUUGGUGUGCGCGCGCACAAGCUGUGCCAGUGCUGCAAGCAGAGUGCCUGCCUCUGCCUGUGCGGACGCACAGGUCACAAUUUUCGCAGAGUGUGCGUGCGCACAUACCAGAAAACUCAUAAUUCUGUAACUUUGUAGAAUUUUCAAAUUUUCAACCCCAACUUUGAAUGAUCAUAACUUCUUCUACAAAAUUCCAAAUUUUACAAACUUUAUAUCGAUUGAAAGGGGUUUUCAAAGAUCUUUGAUUCUAAACAAAUUUCAACCAAUUUUGAAAACCAAGGCAAAAGUUAUCAUCAGACAAAGUUCACUAAAAAUCUAUUUUUACCCAAAAACCUCAUAACCUCAACUUAACCAACUUUCAAACCAAAACCAAUCUAAAUCAUCCCAAACAAUAUCAAAACAUCCUAAAAAUCCCUACCUCUCAUUCUUCAAGCUCAGCCAUCAAUAAUCUCCCCUUUACACUAGUCCAUACCAUCAAAAUCAUUAUCCUCCAACAAACCAAAAAUCAUCACAAACAAUCCUAAUAUUCACAUCCAACAAUUAAUAUCAAAUUUAUCAACUUUGUCAAAUUACCAACAACAUCAAUAUUCUUUAUCAAUCACCAACCAUAUCAACAAGCCCUUACCAACACAAUAAAUCACAAAUUCAUCAACAACCUUCACAAUCAUUAAAUUUCAACAAUCAUCAUUAAAUCAUACUUAUCAUAAUCAUUAUUAUUCCAAUUCUUUCCACACCACACUAAUACAACAUCUAUCAAUUUCCAUCAACAACACCAAUCCUCACUCUAUCAUCAAAUUCAAUAUCCAUCUCCAACAACAUACUACCAACAUCAAUAUAACCAUUUAUCAAUCAUUUCAAAUCAUCAAUUACCAUGCAACACUUCCAUCAACAUAACCAAAGUUUAUCAAAUCAUCAUAAAUCAUCAUAUCUCAACAUUCAACAACUCAACAUCUAUUUUAAUUCAAACCUAUCUUAUGGGUCUCUAGUCUAAGUUUCCAGAAACAUUACAUAUUACAUAAAAAAAAUUGAAACCAUACCUUGGCCGAUUCCCAAAUACACCAAACACCAAAACGAAGCCACCAAACUUGAUCCAAGGCCUCAACCAACUCCAACAAACACCAAAACUCAAACUAACAACAUAUAUAUAUACCAACAUCAAAACCUAAGAUACAUAAAGCAACUAAACACAAGGGUUUAGUGAAACCUUACCUUAUCCAACGAGAUUAGGGGUAAAAUCCAACAUUUACCCGCUACUAGAGAUCACCUAAACAAGCAAAACCACAAAAUUUGCUGAAGAACUAAACCCAAAAUACGCAGAAACUUAGGGCAGAAAACUAGGAAUUAGAACGAGAUUCUUUACCAUAUUUUCUUAGAUAGAAGGGAAGAGCUCGUCAAGAGCUUCCUGUGACCAUAAACGGCUCGUCAAUCGGAGGUCUGUAGCUCAAGUUAUGGCCCCCGGAAGGUGGAGGUGAAUAGUAACACCACCCCCUUUCUCCCCUCCUCUCUAAAUCCGCGGCCCUCUCUCUCUUUUCCCAACAAAAUGAGUUUAAAACUCAUUAAACACAUAUAUAUAUGUUGGACCUUGGGCCUGGUGUGGGCUCGGUCCAACCCGUUAGCGUUUUAGAUCCGUUUGGCCCACUUUGGGCCAAAACCUUUAAGAUUAGUGCCCGGUUUUCAAUUCUGAAUUAUUUUUCUCCUUUCAAAAUAAUAAAUCAAUUUUUUCAAAAUAUUAUUUUUCUCAAAACACAGUACCGGACAGGCUUAAACCGGUUCAACCGAUUUGGCUGCCGGUUCUCGGUCUUUCGCAGAAAAUACAUUUUCCGAUUCAGAAAAAUUCAUUGAAACCAAAUUUCACCUUUUUACUUUCAAAUUAAAACUUCUAAAUUUUGAAUCCAUCUUGGACACUUAAAAUUAUUACUUUAUUAAAAUGGUUUUGCGUGAAAAUUUCGGUUCUUACACAUUACACUUUGAAUUAAGCCCUAACGCACUUCUGCCCUCUCCAUCCCUCUUUUUUCCUACUUUUGUCCUAUUUUUCUACUUGUUUUACUUAGUUUUCUUUGUAUCUCUUUUUCAUUUUAGUAAUUAUAUAUGGUUUGCUUUAGUUGUUUGUUAAUUGAAUAAGUUGCAAGUGUUUGUUUGAUGUUGAUUGGGUUGCUUCUUGAUUGAAUUUCAUCAAUACACUUAUGCUUUGUCUUAAAUUACUAGCACCUAAUUGGAUUUGCACAUUUACAUUUUGUUGCAUAUUAGGUGAAAUUUUUAUAAGUGCACAUUGGAUUAAGUGAAUUGAGUUGAAAUUACUUGUUCAUCGUGAUUUUCAUAUCAAAUUCACCACAUAACAAGAUACUUGUUUAUUUUUAAUGCUUUACAUUUGUUUGAGUGACUUGACUUGAUUCUUAUCAAGCUUAUCACUUUUUGCAACAAGUACCUUUACCAUGUGACUAUUUCGUUAUGUUUCAAGAUGAAUAAGUAAUCUUCUUCUCAUUAUUGGAUUGUUUAUUAUUUAUUGUGCUUCCAUAUCAACCUUGCGCUUUCUCUUGCACAACUUCAAUAUCCAAUAUCUCAAUUACUCAAUUAACUUUUGUGGUUACCUAGGGUUGCUUGUGACUUAAGUUUUGCUUAUUCUUUACUUGCAACUUAGGCUACUUAAUUGAGGAACAUAUGCUAUUUCUUUUGAUUGUGUGGAUACUAUUUACCCGGCCAAUGUGUGUGUUCUAACACGUGCGCACAUUUAGAAUACACACAUUAUCUUUUAUCAUACCACACACAUAUGAACUCUUCCUCAAUUGUUGUUUAUUUGUUUAUACAGCAACCCGGAGCCCUGAUGCCCACCAGUUGAAGGUGGAGGAACUUGGAACCUCGCUUCUCUUCCCCUCGGAUUGUGUGCAUGCACAGAGGACCUGCAAUGUUUAAGUGUGGGAGAGGAUCUGCAAUUUUUGGGGCGUAAAUUUCUCUUUCUCAACACUUUGCAUUAUUUUCUAGUUUUUAGUAGUUAUGCUUUCUUUUGAAUAUUUGUUGAUAUUUCAUUAUAUUGCAUUUUACUUAGUUUGCUUGUAUAUAUCUUAGCUUGCUUAUAGUUUUAUUGUAGUAAAUAUUUGCAUUUGCAUUUUCCUAGUAUAGGAAAUAAGUUUAGUAGAACAACAAGGAAUUUUCAUGAAAUCUCUUCUAGGGCGUUCCAUUAAUUAGAUUUGAAAAUUUAUUUUUAAACUUGCUUGAAGUAUUUUUAUGGAACAUAGAAAAGAGUUUGAACAAAAUACCUAGUGAGAUUUGAGCUUUAAUUGGAUGCUUGCACAUUUUCAACCAUAAAUUUUGUUCUUGUGUGUUAUAUUCCCUUUAUGAUUGUGAUCUUAGAUUUGCUUGAGUUUUUAUGUCCUAUAUUUGAUGUUUUGAAUGCAUUUAGUAUGAUUGAGGCUAUUUUUGAAUUGAACUCACUAAACCCAUAUGGCCAACCCUUACACCUACCUUUGUAAACCACUUUUGAGCCUUUUAAGUCCCCUUUGUCCUAAUUUUAAGCACAUCAUCCACACUAAGCGAAAGACCAUUAUGUCCAUGAAUUGUAUCUUUGAUUAUCUUGAGUUGAGAAGUGUGUGUUAUUCAAGUGUGGGGGAAUUUGUGGAGAAACAUUGGUAGUUAGUUUUCUUUGGAUAUUCAUUGAGAAAAUUUGGAAAAAUGGGUAAUCACUCAUGCAUUCAUUACUUAGAAACAUAUGCAUCUCUUUUUGAUGAUAAAAGGAAAGAGAAAUUUUAGUGUAUAUACUUUUUGAAAAAAAAAAAGAAAAAAAGAAAAGAAAAGAAAAGAAAUAAAAAUAAAAAUGUAAAUAAAGAAUGCAUAUGUGUGUAAAGUAAAAAGAAUUGAUGCAUGAGCGAAGGUGAGAAAGGAGAUGAAUGGGAAGUUGGGUUGGUUUCUUUUGUGUACAUAGGAUGAUAUAGGAUUAGGUAGGAUACUUGGGCUAAUCAAAGAUCCAAUCUACUAGUCCACUUAACCAUAUUAAUCCUACCCUUACCCUAGCCCCAUUACAACUCUCCAAAAAUCUCAUGAUAUUUGCAUUCAUGCAUCAAGUAUUUGUAUAUUGUUAGAUGAAUGGAAAAUCCUAGAAAAUAUUAUUAAAGGAGAAUUGAGUGAUUUAAACCCUAAACACUGAGCGACUAGAGUGUAUACACAUCCGGUGAGGGGUUCGAUCGCUCAAUUCUAUGUUUCCAUCACUUAUCUUGAGUCUUCUUGCAAGUUGCCAAAUUAAUUGUUGAAAAUUUCAAAUCAAAUCUUUGGACAUUGAUCAUAUUGCUAUAUUUUCUUUGCCUUGGCCCUAAUGAUCUAUUUUGGAUUGAUUGGAAUUCUCUUGUGUGUUUUUGUCAAACUCCAUAGGGAACCAUAUUAUAGAUAUAGAUAGAUAGUAUUUAGCAUAGUUGCAUGUAUGUAAGUAUUUGCAUUGAAUAAGUUGCUUGUCCUUUUACCCUUCUCCUUUGAUUGUGAUUAGCAUGAGGACAUGUUAUUGUUUAAGUGUAGGAAAAUUGAUGAAUCCAUAUUUGACAAUAAAUUUUGGUUUGAUUUGAGUGGAUUUCAUCACAUAAACUCACACUUAAUCGCUAAAAUAGCAUACUUUUAUGUUUUCUCUCUAAAUUGUGCCUAAUUGUGAAAACAUGCUAUUUUGUACUUAAUUUGAUCAAUUUUAUCCCACUUUCAUUCUAUUCAAUGCCUUGAUAAUUUUGAUGAGUGAUUUUAGGUGCAAUAGGUUGGAAUGGCUUGAUAAGAGUGGAAGAGAACCAUGCAUUUGGGAGAGAAUAUGAAGAAAUCAAAGGAGAAGCACACAGUCAUGUGUGCGUAUGCACAACAUCUAGUGCGUACGCACAAAAAGGAAAUCAGCAUGCAUGCGUACGCACAACACUCUGUGUGCAGGCACAAGUGGAAAAUUCGACAAAGUGUGCGUACGCACACACCUGUGCGUACGCACAGGUACCAGCGCAUAACUUCAUUAAAAAGUCACAUGGCUCACGUUUUAGGAGGCUUUUUGGCCCAUUUCUGAUGGCUUGAAGCAUAUAAGGAGGCUAGCAACACAACAUACUCAUACCAUACUUCAUACAACACAUUUUAGGAGUAGUUUUAGGGUAGUUUAGUUUAGGUUCUUCUCUUAAUUUUCCUUAGGUUUAAUUAGGGUUUGUAGCAUUUUAUAGUUCAAUUUUUGGUCUUGAAUUUCGCUAUCUCAUUGUAAGUAUUCCUUAAUUUUCUCUUUUAUCACAUUACUUGUUCUACACUUUCAUAUAUUUUAAUUUCUUUUGUCAAUAUAUAUAUAGUUUUGCAAUUUUGAGUUCUAGUUCAUGAAUUUGAUGUUUGAUGGUUAUUUUAUCUUUGUUGAGUUGCCUUUGUUGAUUGUGAUCCUUUGUGGUUCAUAGUUUUCAUCACUUUUCUAAUUUUGUCAUGUUUUAUGAUUAUGCACACUAUGUGUUUGAUAAAAUGAUAAUUUUGAUUAUGGAGUAAAUUUCCACCCCUUGGCUUGGGGAAAUAAAAUUAUAGAAUACUAGAGUCAUAAUGUCCAACAUUUAGUGAUAAUUCUUGGGUUGUUAGUUGUUAUUGUUUCCACUAAUGCUAGCUUCUUACUAAGGUAAUUAGUAAGUUAGCUAAGAUUUGUGGAUUAAUAACAAUUAUGCUUACUUGACCUAUCCUUCGAUGUUAAGGGUUAACCUAGUGAGAUUAAUCCAUCAUAAUUAUCAUAAUUGUGGUUAUGGUAAGGAAGAAAUUUCAUAACUCAUCCCAAGUCAAGGUUCCGUUUAUGUUUUGAACCACAUUUCCAUCAAUUUUGAGUCUUACUUGUCCAUAUUACAUACAUAGUUCUUUUGUUCCUUUAUUUGUUUAUUAAUUACAAUUUUGAAUCGUUCUUUUAUCUCUUUAUUUGUUUGCUUCCUGAUUAUUGAAAACCCUCUUGAUCAUCACAACCAAAAUUGUGCGCUCUUAGGCAUUAGUUCCUAGGGAAGACGACGCGAGAUUUAAUUACUCUCGGUUAUUUUAAUUUAAAAAAUAAACUUUGAUGUUUGGGAUUGAAUUGCCGGUUUGGACUAUGCUAUCAACGAAAUACUUAAUUUCAAUUGAGAAAUUCUAAACCGGUGCAAAUCCUUCAUCAUCCAUACCAUUGCCCACUAGUAUCAUCAACGUGCACCUUUAUCCGAGCUUCACACAUACACCGUGUGAUAGGUCGAGGAUCCUUCUUCCUGUCUCCCGCUGCAUGUGUUUCCCCUCUUGCUCUCCUUUUCUCGAGCACAUGAAUAUCUGCCAAAUGAUUUCACCCUCCGACCUCUGUUUUGUUCUGCAACCCACCUUCGACCUCCUCACCGAGAAUUCCUUAAUGUGAUCGUAUUCGUUGUAGUAUUCAUAAGCGGCCUACAAAUUUAUGAACUCUGUCAUCAGGAUAUCCUUCACUGUCAGGGCUAAAAAAUAAAUUGCAUUAAACGACCCAAUCCCAUCAACAAUCAUCACUGAUUCUUCUACUUCUAUGUUUGCAUCUGCUUCUGACAAAUCCAUCGCUUCUGUUUCCUCCAUAGGAACGGUUUCGCCGCUCAUCCCAUCUUCCCCAACCUAAAACACACAACAUAGGCCAUGGGUGACACCAAGCAAUGGGCUACAUCAACAUAAACUGAACAAUAAAAAAUUAUAAAUUUAUAAACUGAGCGCGCGCGCGCGCGCGCACGCACACACCCAUUUGCCUGAUACAGUUCACAUAUCCCACUAAGUGAAAUUUGGCAUUAUCAAUCAUAAAUACCAACACACAGCUAUAUCACACACCUCAGAAAAUAAUCUCGUAUAUAUACCAGAUCCAACUACAAUGUAACAACCAACAGCAAUUUUAACACACAUUUUAAUAACUUCCAAUUCCAAUUCAUCUGUGUACCUCUCUUAACGGCAACGUCCAACAUCAAAAACUUAUAACCGUUGUCAACAAAAUAAGAAAAACUACACACAUAGUACCGUCUGGACAAAGAUUACAAAUGGAUCCAAAUUUACUCUUCCAUUAUUUCUUCACUACAUUCAUUAUAUAAAGGUUUCACAGCUGAACACAUUUCAUUAAUGGGGACUAAAUUUUUCGUAAAAUUUUUUUCCAUUUUAAUUUUAAUCUCCACAAUUUAAAAACAGCAACUACCCACAUUAAAUGCAUAACAAAAUCAAACAUUUAAAUUCUGUAUAUUCAUAUCCACAUCGGACACCAUAAACAUUGGAACAUCAAAUUUGUUGUCAAUUCGAAAACACGACAAAGGUACGAUCCCCAAUUGAAACCAAUUUCGGAAGCAUACCUCCACCAACCUCUGAUGACAUUAUCGAAUCGUAAAUAACUCAACCUGAUCUACACAACGUACAUGCGUCGCUGGUUGCCCCAUGUGGUCCAUUGCCUCCCUUAUGGUGAACUAUAAGUCGGCCAAAUUUCGAUCUAUGCUUUCGUACCGUUCAAUCGCUUGAGCCUUGAAGCUUUCCGGUGACUCCAACCCAACUUAACUCUAACUAUUAAUGGACUUUGGUACUUUAUUGUAAUAAGAAAUUCUCAAUUCGUAAAUAAUUUUAUCUAUUUUUUUUUAAUUCUCCCCAACCGGUACUCUUCUUUAUUUGUGAACCAGCGAAUAUAUUUUUUAUUAUUUCCGUUUAUAAACUAGUGUUCAAAAUUUUAAAAAUACUUUUUCCACCAAAAAAUGCUCUUCGAAACAAUACACACUUAUCAUUGUUCAGAGGCAAGAUAUGACAAAUUAGUUCACUACAAAUAAAAUACCUUUCAAGUAUGAAGAUGGCAAAUACUGAACGAAUCAAUAAAAUAUGAAUUGAAACUUUAGGAUCUAUCCUUGAUGACCUGGCUGUUCGCAUCAAUUUUUUCAUCAAUAAAAAAUACAAGAUAAUUUUUACAAUCAAUUUCAUAAAAAUACAGGAUGUAUCCAACUCUUUUUAAUUGAUUUAAAUAUGAACUUAAGGUGAUUAUGAUUCCUUACCUAAGUUUGAGGGGUUAUUAAAGGUUUAUGGUUUCCAGUUUAAGAUUUAUUAUGGGUUAAGAUGUAAAAACAUAAAAUUAGUUACAUCUUUUGUGGCUAUUUUGAUAGUUUAAGAGAGUAGGUUUAAAUAGGUGUAUUAGCUUUGUACUGUACAGUAUAAAAAUGGAACAAUAUCCUUAUCGAAUACACACAGUUUACUUAAUAGUAAUACAUGAUAUAGUUCAGUAUUGAUUCUUACCUGAAGGCUUCGGUCGCAUGGUCGCAUAAUCGGAUCGACGGUUAAAUGUUAGUAAUUGUUGUGUUUCUAUGUUGCACCCUUUUUUGGUGAGAUUAACCAUCACCUAUACCAUACCAUAGGAAAAUUCUUAAGUGUACAGUUAUAACUGGUGUUUCAGUUAUUUUUAACCGUUGAUAUUUUUUAUAAAAAAUAUAUAUAAUUAUAUAUAAUUAAGAUUAACGGUUAAAAAUCACUGAUACACUGAUAUGACGGUACACUUGAAAAUCUUCCCAUACCGUAAUCCAUGUUUGCGAAUUCCAACCAAUGGAAAAAGGAAAGAGACGCCAUCUGGCCUGCCGAUCCAAACAACAAAUUUUGAAAAUGAUAUUGCCCCUGUUGACUUUACAUAUAAAUCAAGAUAGUUUACAGGAGCAAAUAAGUGUUUCACAUUUUUAACAUGUUACUAGCAUCCUUUAUCAAUCUUUUUACCCAAAUUAUUGUUACGUUGUUUGUUAAAUUUUAGUUGCAUGAUUGAUCUUACUCAUUUAUAUUAAUAGAAAAUGUAUCUUAUUAUGAGAAUGAAAUUUUUACACGAGAAUAUGAGUUAAAUAAAAAACUACAAGAAUAAAAUAUAAAAAAAUAUAUAAUUUNNNNNNNNNNNNNNNNNNNNNNNNNNNNNNNNNNNNNNNNNNNNNNNNNNNNNNNNNNNNNNNNNNNNNNNNNNNNNNNNNNNNNNNNNNNNNNNNNNNNNNNNNNNNNNNUUAAAAUAAUUUCCUAUUUAUUAUUUAUAUAUUGUUCUUGCUGAAGUUGACCGGUGUAUAGCUUGUCCGUCGAUGAAUGCCUUCAAGCUUCUCGUCAGGAUGAGUUAUAUGUCAGCAAGAAGAGAACAAGGGGGUGGGUACCUGCAAAAGACACUUCGACGCUCAAGUCAGUAAGUGUUUAAGAGGUAUAAGAAUAAUUCUAUGAAUAUAGAAUGUAAGACAUGAAAUAGAAGUCAUAAUGUAUUGUAUAUUAUAAUAAUUCUAUGAAUAUAGAAUAUAUCGAAAAUGUCUCUAGAAUGUCCAGUGUAUACAGAGAUUGGUGCCUUUUAUAGGCAUAGAGUUGAUAAACAGAAUUGAUGGUAUGACCGUUGAUCAUUAAGUCAGAAUAAUGGUCAUUAAGUCGGUAAUGAAGGUGUCAGUUAUAGAAUGAAUGAUAAUUAAGGCCGAGUUAUAACUAAUAAUGCACAAUAAAGACCGAGUUAUAAGGUUAUUGAAUUAUACAUUUAGCAUAAUGUUUCUAGCAAUUAUAGUAUGACAAGGGAUAUUCUUCGUGUAAUAAUAGUAAAUUGCCUGUUUAAUUUUCUACAUUAAACAAAUAGUAACAUAAAAUUUAAUAGCAUAAAGUGAAUAGUAUAACAAUUAUAUACAAUUGAUAUAUAAUUAAUUUUUUAUGAAAUCCAAUUUAAAGAUUUGAACUCAUCAUUACUGUCAUUUAAUUGUAUAAAACAUAUAUUGAGGUUUGAAUAUAACUAAUAAAGCAGUAAAUAUUAGUUACACAAAAUAUAAAUACAAAAAUAUAUAUGAAUAAAAUAAAUAAUGUUAUUUGUGUAAGUAGAGAACUUUGAAAAAGUAAGCGAAAUUGAUAAGUGAGUUUGUGCUAGGAUUGAUUGAAAACCGAGUUUGUUCUUGGAUUGAUUGAAAGUCGAGUUUGUUUUCGGAUUGGUUCAUUGAUCGAUUAUGAGACGUGAAAUAUUAUGAUACGUAAAAAUGAAGCAAUUUGAAUGUAUAAAGUACAUACUUUAUAAAAAGUUACGAUAGAUUAAAAUUUGAUAAGAGGUAUUAAAUAAAAUCUUAAACAAGAUUGUUGAGAUUGGUUCAAAAAUUUGAAUGUAGGAAUUAUUUUACUCGUCCCCACAGACGGCGCCAAUUGUUCUUGCUGAGAUUGGCCGGUGUAUAACUCGUCCGCCGGUGAAUACUUGUAAGCUCUCCGUCAAGAUGAGGUAUACGUCGGCAAUAAGAGAACAAGGGGGUGGGUACCUGCAAAAGACACUCCGACGCUUAAAUCAGUAAGUGUUUAAGAGGUAUAUAAUAAUUCUAUGAAUAUAGAAUGUAAGACAUAAAAUGAAAGUUAUCAUGUGUUAUGUUGUGUUUAUAAUAAUUCUAUGAAUAUAGAAUGUAUUAUUGAGAUUAGAUAUAGAAGGUUCUUUUUUAGGCAUAAAAUUGAUGAAUAGAAUUGAUGUUAUGACCGUUUGGUCAUUAAGAUAGAAAUGAUGGUCAUUAAGUUGGUAAUGAAUGUGUCAGUUACAAGCAAAAGAAUGAAUAAUAGUUAACGCCGAGUUAUAACUCAUAAUGCAUAAUAAAGACUAAGUUAUAAGGUGACGGAUCAUAUAUAUUAUUANNNNNNNNNNNNNNNNNUAAUUUUUAUGUGUAUGUGUACAUAUAUUAUAAUCCAUCUAAUAAAUAAAAGAAUAGAUCAAAUAUAUCAAAAAGUAAAAAUUUAUUUGCAUUUAUAAUAAUCAUUAAAUAAUAAUUUAAUUAAAUAUAUUAAAUUAUCUAAUAAUUUUCAUGGUUAACACAGUUAGAUGUGAGUUUUUACAAUGUAAAAAGAAAGCAAACAGCAGUCUACGAAAUGUUAAAACGGCGUUAUUUGACGUUGGCGAAAUGUAGUGAGUAGUGACAGGAGGAAAUGCAGAAAAGUCGCCGAGGAAUUGGGACGUGGUGUGUGUGGAGUGUGGACCCUCCUUCCUCUCGCCACUCUGUCGGUAACUGCCUCGAAUUCGUCGCCGCCUAAAAGUGACACUCCAUACGAGGCUACUUUUCAACUUUACUAUUUAUUUAUUUUUCUUUCGUAAAAGGCAAAAUAAUAAAUAAAAGAAUAGUAUGUACUGUAUCUAGUACAGUAACACUAAAUCAGCAACACCAAUCUUUUUUUAAAAAUGAUUCAAUUAGAUAGAUAGAGUUUUUGCAUUAUCGGGGAGCUCAAUAACGCAACUACUCCCCUGACUCACUUUUUGAUUCCUUUUCCUCUCAAUUAUUUAAACAUCAUUAUGUCUAUCUUCUUCCUUCUCUCCUCCAUUUCCUAAUACUGCCCUUCUUUUAGUUUCAGAUUUCAAACAAUCCUGCGGUCCAUAGGACCUGUAAGUGGUGAGGGUGCACACAUCAUGUCCACUCCCACCAAAAUCAAAGGGUUCCUUUCAUUGUCGUGUUAUCUAAAUAGUUUUUCCUUAAAAAAAUACUUAUACUCUUAUUAAUUUAUUUUUAAGAAUGAUGUAUGAAUUAUUUUUACACAAGUAGAAAAACACAAAAUUUACUUUUUAUAACAUAAAUAAAAAAUAUAUAAGAAAGUGGAGGUAAAAUAAAUAUUAUGCAAACAUUAUCUUUUACUUAUUUAUAAUUUAAUGUAUCAUAUAUAUGUGUAAUAAAUAUUCAAUUUAAGAUGAUAAAAUGCAAGAUUACUUACCUAGUUACCUUGAGUAUUUUGAAUUUUUUUGUAGUUAGUAGCUUCUUAAUGUGUAUUUUAUUGAAACUGGUAUACCUUUCUAAAUCCCUGGAGUAUUUAUUAAUUAAGGAAGAAUUAAAAUAAGUGAAUAAGGUAAACAUUUUAUUAAUGAGUAGUAUUCUUAAAAAGGUAAAAGUAAAAGAAUAUCUUGAUACAAAAUUUAUAAGAAUAUAAAAACAUUAUAGAAAGAAGAAAUUACAAACAAAAUUGGCGAGUGCAAAAUAAACAAUAAGUUAAGCCAAGUUUGAGUUAAUAUUAUUGUAGGGGCCAUGUGAAAUGAUAUUUUGGUACAUUAUAAAGUUGAGCAAGUGAAAUGUUGUAGGAGGAGAUAAUAUUAUGAGCUCUCCUGAGUCCUGAGAGAAGAGUGGUGGUGGUCGUCGUUUUAAGUGAGACGCGUCCAGAAGCCAGGCGAUGAGCGUGCAUGUGCGUGUGCGUGGUAGGUUAGGGUCUACCCCUGCACCUUUUUUUUUUCUCUUUUGUUGUACCCUUUAUAAACCCCUCCUGAUCUCUCCAUCCCCCAUUCCAGUGAUCACACACACACUCUCUCUCUCAAGUGGCGGCCGGGAAAGUUUUGUUUUGUUGAGGGGAAUGUUGUCUGGCUCGAGGACCCUUCCUUUCCCUUCCCUUCCCUUCUCUAAAUGAAAUAAGAGUCGUCGGACCAGGCUUCAUUCCCCCCANNNNNNNNNNNNNNNNNNNNNNNNNNNNNNNNNNNNNNNNNNNNNNNNNNNNNNNNNNNNNNNNNNNNNNNNNNNNNNNNNNNNNNNNNNNNNNNNNNNNNNNNNNNNNNNNNNNNNNNNNNNNNNNNNNNNNNNNNNNNNNNNNNNNNNNNNNNNNNNNNNNNNNNNNNNNNNNNNNNNNNNNNNNNNNNNNNNNNNNNNNNNNNNNNNNNNNNNNNNNNNNNNNNNNNNNNNNNNNNNNNNNNNNNNNNNNNNNNNNNNNNNNNNNNNNNNNNNNNNNNNNNNNNNNNNNNNNNNNNNNNNNNNNNNNNNNNNNNNNNNNNNNNNNNNNNNNNNNCGUUUCGUCUUUUGUUUUUUUUCCAUUUUUACUCACUCAAAUCUACAUGCUCCACUUUUCUUUUUUGGUGUAAUAAUAAUCAUCAACCUGGCUGCACAAAAAUGAUUUUCAUCAUUACCUCCUUUUCAGAUCUUUCAUUUUCAUUUUCUCAUCUAAAUAGUUAUCAUGAUGUUUUCUCUGUCAGCUUCAUCAUCAUUACCUAUCUUUCUUCUCAUUAACUGGAUCUGAUCCGAUCUGUCUCUUUCUGCCAUUUUUUUCAAACAUCUCGUUGCCUUUCAACCCACCACAACCUCCCCCUCUUUUUCCUUUGCCUUUCUCUCUCCACCUUUUCUUUUCUCUCUCUCUCUCUCUCUCUCUCUCUCUCUCUCUCUCUCUNNNNNNNNNNNNNNNNNCUACAUUUUGGUCCUAAUCUCUACAAUUAUAAGCUAAUGAUGUACCCUAUGUGAAGAACCAAGACGGGACAGGAUAGACGUUAUUUUUUGUCAACUUUAUUGUUAUGAUGAUGAGACACAUUAUUGAGGCCUGAGUGGUUCAGGACCAAAUUCCGAAAUCUUGUAUAAUGGAUCACCUUCUUAAUUUGUCUGGAUUUAUUUCAAAUUGAGAAACAACAAAGGCAUAAGCAUUUAACCACUCUUGUGAUUUGUUGCAUCAAUUCAGGUGCUACUAUCUGGCUCUCUACUGGUAGCUUAGCUCUAGGUUUAUAAUGUCGCAGACCUUAGUUUUGCUUAGUUUUCUUUCACUUUUUAACCUUAACUUUAUAUCUCAUUUUGAACCUAAACCCUAAUUCCAGCACUUCCCAUGUUCAUUUCUUUAGUUCAAAAGUGAAUUUUCACUAAGGUGGUCAGAUGGAGUAUUAAAAGUGAGAGGAGAAAGAAAAAGUUAUAAUGCUUAGUCAUCACUAAAGCCAGGGUUUUUCUUAGAUCCUGAAUUUUUGAGAGCAACUAGAAAGAUAUCAUUUGAUUACAAUCACAUAAAAAAUCCAAGAAAUAUAGUCAAAUGCUGCGAAAGGAAAGGAUUCUUUUUAUCUUACUGAACAUGCGGAAUAAGUAGUUGUGCAAGUGGUAAGGAUUUUUUUAGUUUUUUUGUUGGUUGGGGGCGUUUUCUUUGUAUUUAACCUUUUGAUUUCUUCAUGAACAUAAGCUACAGGGUUCCCAAAGAGAGAAUGACAUCAAGCCAAAGUUUGAAUGAGAAGCUAGCUAGGGCCAUAGGGAAACAGUCCUUAUUACUCAGCAUUUAGCAUUUGCUUUAUUUUAUCACCCUGCUCAUUGUCAUUGAUACUUGCACGCAAUGUGUACUUUAAGCACACACGCCUGCGUUAAUUGGCAUAGAAUUUGGUAUUUCUCUCGUCAAUUUGUGUAUGUUUGAAAUGUUAAUAUGAUUCAGACAAAUAUAGUUAUGAUGGUAUCCAUAUUAUUGUCCUCACCGGUGUUCUAAAAUGAGAGUAGUUGCUGUAAAGUAACUGUAUGAGGAGUGUGCGAACGCUACAUAUGUUUUGAGUGUGUGAGAUAAAAAAGUGCUCAGUUUGGGAAAUUGGAUCUUUUGAAACUUUCUGCAAACAAAAACAAAACAUACAAAAAGUUGAAGUGAACUCGAAGCCAGAUGGGUACGUUUACUUUAAUUUGUGUUUCCCUAUGCAUUAUUAUUAUAUUGUAAAGCUGAGUCAGAUUUGUUGAAUGUUGAAUUCUUCACAUUUUUUGACAUCUUUUUGUACGACUGUUUGGAUAGGAAUUCGUUGAUCUGGAGGACUUGCAUUGGUAGAUAAGGGUAUAGUACAAUGAGGCUGUCAAACUUUCUAUUCGGUUGCCCUUCUGUCACACAUACUAUAUAUUAUAGUGCAAACAAACAUACAAAGAUCGUAUUUUCUCGUAUAAAUAGACAAACACCUACACACAUUUUCGUGUGUGAUGAUUUAUGUUUAUUACAUUUUCAGGACCAGAGAUAUCAUACUUCUAAUAAUUCUUAAUUAUAUGUUAUUUUUAUAUGAAAAUAUUUU